UUUUUUUUUUUUUGGUUUUUUUUAAUUAUCAGGAUAUCCUGAAGGCCUUUCUUUCAUGUUCUUCUUUUCUAGGUGUUUUUCUUUGUUGCUUCCCCUUGUUAUUUCCCAUCAUCCUGCCUCGCUCCUUAUUUUUUUUCAACUGCUCCGUACGUCUACAAACGUUUGAAAAGUGUAAAAUGUGGUUUAAUGGAGAGGUUCUAGACUUGAAAGAAAAUAGUGGAAAAAACAGACAUUUGCUAAACUUAAGCAACGUCAUCUUUUAUCUCAGAACGGGCAUUCAGAAAGGGCAUACCCUCCCAUUUUUUCGUUUCGAAAAUUUUCGAUGAAUUUGUUUUCUCUUUUUGAUCUUUACAAAUAACAUGUAGGUCAGUUUGUUCGAUCUUUUUCGUUUGGGUUGGAUGGCUGAAUUAUUGGCAGACUGUUCCUUUGGGUUGUCUUCUUUCAUUCCCGACUAAGUCAUUUUCGUUUUCUCUCUUACAGCAAAGGUGUCCCUGGGAAACAGAUUCAGAUGUUUCUAUCUCAAAGAUUUGUCUUGGAGAAAAAAAAAAUUUAGUCAAAACCUCAGACUUUGGUUUGGUGGUUUUUAAUUAUUGUGCAGGUAAAGGAGAACCUCUAAGAAAAAUAAGUUCACUGAAGACUUGACAAGCGGUAGAAAAUUGGUUUUUUUGAAAAAAAUUUUAAACUUCCUUUUUUCGAAUUAAAAAAAUAAAUAAAGUAGGCAAUUUAUCCAUUUUAGUUACACGACUUUGGUCCUUUAAUUCCAGAUAUGCACCUAUUUUGAAUUAUCUUUUCUCAUUUAAUAAUCUUGCAUGUCAAAGUUUGGGAUCUUUUUAUCCAUUUUUUACUGUUUGCUUUGUUUUUCCAACAUUCUCCAAGGGAGUUCCGAAGUUCUUCGAUUCUUUGGAUAUGGGAAAAUUUUAUCAGCCAUUUGUGAAAACUCUUGCAGAGUAAAUUGAAAUUUAAUUCCAGGUUCUGUAUUGCUCUAUAAUUGAAGUCUUCUACCUAAAAUGCUGAUUACACAGCACACCACAACAACACAGGACUACUGCAGCUUGUACCAAUUUAAUCCCAAGUUUUGAUUAUUAUUUUACUAAAUUUGCUAUCUUUUAUAUAAUCAUACCAUCCGUGUUGAUAUGAACAGUCCAUGUUUAUUGUGUUGAAAGAUGCGGAAAAAAAAGAAAAUUUGGUCGUGAGAAGUUGCGUUUGGUUUAAUCGUUUGGGGAAUGUGGAGUGUUAUUCAAAUUGAAAUUUAAUGGAAUGCCAUGAUUGAAAUUUUAUAGUAUGAAUGAAUUUAGCCAAUCUGAAAUACCAACAUUACAGCUGAUGAACUCACUCCUACAUAAUUCUGCAUAUACUCAUCUUUUAUUUCGUUGGGUUUUAUUUUUAUUUCAUUUUUUUUUGUUCCAAAGAACUUGAAUUUAUCUUAAUCGCUCUAUCACUUUUUUGGAACUGUGGUUGGUUUUAGAUUUAACAAUCUUUUGGAAUAUAGAGAGAUCAUAAUUUUUUUUGUGCUAUUCUUGAAACAGGCCGGCUGCUCAUUAAGCUCAAAGAAGUGAGAAGAUUUGUUACGUAGGACUAUGCCAACUAUGAAGCUCUUAGAAAAAGGUGCGGAAAUUGGCCUGUUUUGAUGAGGUAUACUUUUCUAAUAGUAUGCUCCUUAGUAUUCCACUUUAAUUAUGUCUAGGAACUAAUGUUGUUAUUACUACUCAUUUUUACAGAAAAAAGGUUUUGUUCUUCAUUCUUGCUAUUCAUCUAGGGUUGUGCAACUUCAUUAUAGGGGAUCCCUUCGUAUAGGUUUCUUGCUAAGACCCGUACGAAGUGCAAAUGUAUGUGGAAAUUUAUAACUCUACAUAACAGUCCAGCGCAGUUAGCCUGCUAGUAUUUCUAUUUCAUUUUGAAACCUGCCUGGAGUUCAAAUCUAUGAGGGCUAUUCUCUCUAUUUCAUGAAGUACGAGGUUCUUAUGGACCGUGCGAGGUUUUUUACCAUCGUCAAUGGUGGGAGAAUGGGCUGUAGAAGAGUGCGGAAGCAGUGGCUUGGUUCUUUCGACUUACUUAGGCCUUGGACCACAGAAGAAAUUGAGUAGUGGUUGUCAAUUCCCGGCGAUGUAUAACUUUGGGGAUUCAAAUUCGGACACAGGUAGUUUCUCAGCUACAUUUUAUCAGCUCCCUUCUCCCUACGGCUACACGUACUUUGGUAACCUUCAGGCAGGUUCUCAGACGGGCGCAACAUUAUUGAUUUUAUAGGUUAGUGCAUCAAACUGUUGUCCUUGCUUUUCCUUCAAAUUUAAGACAACUUAUGAACUUUUUAUGGAACAAUCUUGCAGCUCAAAGGUUGGAUUUUCCAUUUUUAAGUGCUUAUCUGGAUUCUGUUGGAGCAAAGAAUUUCGCAAUUGGAGCAUCUACAAUUCAGCCAUUAGAUGCCAGGAUAUUUGAAGAGAGAUAUAGCUCCAUCUCUUUUAACGUACAACUUUCACAAUUUGCACAGCUCAAAGCACGCCAGCAAAUAGCUUCCCUCGAGGUACGGAAAUUCACAAUUUUUUACUGAGACGUUUAAUUUGAUCUAGUAAUUCUUUGUGCAGGGGUUUCACUGAACGAUGGAUUAGUUUUCAGAUAAAAGGUUCCAUGUCAAGGCCGGCCUCCCAAGCCCAGAGGACUUCUCCAAGGUCUUGUAUACUUUAGACAUCAGACAAAACGGUCUUAAUGCCGGAUUAAACUGGAAACCGGCAGACCAAGUGCUGGCAUCCGUCUCCACCAUAGCAGCGCAGUUAGCUCUUUGCACGGUGAUUCAUAAGGAACUAUUUUCAUAAAUUUACUUAAUCAACAUAAAUCACUAUUGUAUGGCGUAACUUUAAUAACACGAAGUCAGAAACAAUAUCUCUAGAUUAUAUUCCAACCCAGGCGUCACAUGAAAUGCCUAAAAUCCCGAUGGCUCUAUAAACAGAUUGCAGAUUGUUUUGUAUGUGCAGCAACUCUACCAACAAGGGGCAAGAGUUUUUUGGAUUCACAAAUCACAACACAGGUCCGCUCGGGUGCUUGCCUUCAACUCUUGCGUAUAAGCUGCCAGAAUCCGGCGACCUGGAUCAAAACGGUUGCUUGAAGCCUUUGCAUGAGAUGCGGUUUAAGAAUUUAACAUGCGGCUCAAGGAAGAGAGUGCUUGAACUAAGAGCCCAACCUUCAGAAGCAGUUCUUACUUGAGUCAAUAUCUAUGCAGAAAAAUCCUGACUAAUUAUAUCGAUAGGAAAACCUUACAUCCACUGACCAAGUUCUACACCGUGGGGUACAUAAGAAGUGUAAAUCGAUUCUUUCUAAUGAACACAUCCGAUCACAACUUCCACUUCAUGCCUUUAGCUAGUGUUUCACUACUCCAUUUCCUUGGCCUAACCAAAACCCUAAACUCUUUUUCUCUGUUGGGUGGAAUUUGCAGGUUUUACGAGUCCUUAACUCAAUGUUGUGGAAGCUACGGUGAUUUCCCCGUCCAUUGUGGGGUGAAAGCUAUUGUUAAUGGCACUGCAGCUGGAGCACCUUGUAGCAAUCCUUCUCAGUACAUUAGCUGGGAUGGAGGGCACUAUUCUGAUGCUGCAAACCAGUGGAUAGCCAACGGAAUUAUGGACCGCGCAUUCUCUGAUCAUCCGGUUUCAAUCGCUUAAGCAUGUCACAAUACUCCACACUAAAUCAACUUUCAAGUAUCCCAGUUGAGGUUGUAUCGCACACCAACAGAAAAAGAAAAAACAAAAUGAAUCUGUUCUUGAUUGAAAGUUAGUUAUUCAAAUUUGACGACUCCUUUUUUUUUUUAUUUACUGCUUAUAUCGAACUUUAAAUGUAGCUAUCCAUUUCUUUCUGUUCGAUGAUAGUCUAUUUUCUAGGCCACCUUUAAAGAUCAACUCUUUUAAAAUCAACCCAAAAUAUCGUUGUAUGAACGUGAUUAUAAUUUUUGUAUUUAACUGAACAUAUCUGGCUACCUGAAAGAGGGAAGAGAAAAAAAAUUAAACUUUGACAAAAAAAUAAAAAGGGUUCAUCUACAAUUUGAAACAAAGGACGACUUCACUGGGGAUCGAACCCAGAAUCUCUGGUUUCGUAGACCAGCGCCUUAUCCAUUGGGCCAUGAAGUCCGAAUGCUUGUUUUGCUAGGUUUUUAUUAAUUUAUACGCAGUAAAAAGAAACCGAUCGCUCGUGGAAAAAGCCAGAGCGCUUCCUGUCAAAACUGACAAAGUGAGCCUAAAGAGUUGAAGGGAAACUCAACGGAUACAAAUUCUGUUCCAAAAGCUAUAAGCCUAUUUCUGAAACAAAGUGCUUACCUUUUCUUUUUCUUUUUUUUCAACUUUUUUGUCUCUGAAAGUGGAAUCACAUUUCUCAAAACUACUACUUGUGAGUUGUGACUGCUAUCUUGGUGUCACUCUCAGUGAGCUUGGCAGCCUCGUCAUCUCCUUGCAAAUAUCCGGCCAUAUUCAACUUCGGCGACUCAAACUCUGACACCGGCGGCUUGUCUGCAGUUUUCGGUCAGGUGCGUUUGCCCCCCGGAGAGUCCUACUUCCACCGCCCUGCCGCCUGCCGGCUGUUACUGCAAAUGACAGGCUCGCUUUACUGUAUCUUAGCGCAUAUCUUGAUUAUGUGGGAAGCAACUUCACACACGGAGCCAACUUUGCCACGGCGGGCUCAACCAUCCAGAGCGGGUAUAGUCCCGUCACCUUGGACGUUCAGUACAAUGAGUUCUACGAUUUUCAACCAAGAUCCCAAACCGCUCGUAGUCGAGGUUGGAAUUUGACAUGUGUACAUAUACGUUUUCUUUUUGUAUUAAAAUGAGUUAUGUUUGCAUUUGGCAUGUGUGGCAAACUAUAAUUUACACGUAAGGAACCAAGAAUAAGUGUUUCUACGUACAUCUACAUGUUUUAUUAGUUGAAGAAACUUGCAUUAAUGCAAUGCAGGUGGAAUUUUAAGCAGCUAAUGCCAAAAGCAGACGAUUUCUCUCGUGCUUUAUACACAUUUGAUAUUGGCAGAAUGAUUUAACAGCCGGUUUAUUCUUGAACAUGUCCACUACCCAAGGCAAGGCAUAUGUUCCUGAUGUGCUAAAUCAGUUUAACAGUAUUGUUAAGGUAAUUAGCAAUACAAACUCUGACUAAUAACAACAUUUAAUUUGGUUGUGAUGUGUGUUUUAAUUCUACACGUAGUAUAUAUAUGAUCAAGGAGGUAGAUACUUUUGGAUACACAAUACAGGUUCCAUUGGUUGUCUUCCAUAUGUAUUGGACCACGUACCAAUCGCAGACGCGUAGCUGGACAAGCCUGGUUGUGACAUGCCUUACCAAUUUUACAACCGCAGAUUGAAGCAAGUUGUGGUUCAGUUAAGAAGAUAACUACCAUUAGCUGCAAUCACAUAUGUUGAUGUUUACCCGGCUAAGUACUCCCUCAUUAGCCAACCAAAAAAGCAUGGUAAGCCCUUACUAGAUUGAAAUCACUUCCUCUAUGGGGUGAAUAUUAAUGUCACUAAGUUUGUGUCAAGAUUUCAAAGAAACAGUCCAACAGCCUCACUAGGAUGUGAUGUUUUAUAUUCUUCAACAGUUUGCUGACUGUGAUACAAAAUGUCGCAGGAUUCAAGCAGCCGGUGGGAAGUACAAUUUCAACAAGCACAUUGGAUGUGCAGGGAAGAUUAGGGUUCAUGGAAAAGAUGCUUUAGUGGGAAGGGGAUGCCAAGACCCAUCACUUUGGGUGAAUUGGGUUGGUGUGCAUUUCACUCAAGCAGCUAACAAAAGAGUCUUUGAUCAGAUGGUAGUGUUAGACGCACAGUUAGAACUUGAAUGUGGGAACCAAGAAGUAUGGGCUGUCAGUUUAUAUAUCAGUUUUCUAUCUCCACAUGUGGUCUUCGACAAGUCAGGCACGGGCAGCAUGGAGAUGAUCAUGGACUUGUUAAUUUUAUAUUUGUCCUCAGCAUGUGCAGCAUGGACUGCUUGUUAGUUUAUAGGUCCUCAAACACAUGCACCACGUGCAGCAUAUUCCUGAUGUAUUUAUAUUUACGUACUUAAUACAUCAGGAAUAUGCUGCACGUGGUGCAUGUGUUUGAGGACCUAUAAACUAACAAGCAGUCCAUGCUGCACAUGCUGAGGACAAAUAUAAAAUUAACAAGUCCAUGAUCAUCUCCAUGCUGCCCGUGCCUGACUUGUCGAAGACCACAUGUGGAGAUAGAAAACUGAUAUAUAAAACUGACAGCCCAUACUUCUUGGUUCCCAUUCUCACACCUCCCUUGGAAAAUCGUCCUCUUGGUCUUGAGGUCCUUAACAACAAAAUAAUAUGGAAAAAUUAGAAUGUAGCAUUUGUUAUUUAGGGUAAAUCUAUGGGCAGAGAUAAUAUUGGUAGAGGCUGACGGACAAUGUAAAACAUUCUUAAGGUUAAAUGAGCAAGAAUUAGCAUUAAUUUGAUUUGAACCAGAGUGAGCAAUAGCGAGUCCAGUAUCAUUACCUACACCACCAAUGUUUUCAUUACCGUUGUACUCUUUAGGAUUAACCAAAUUCUGGAGAUCAGGUGUGAUAUGUGCAUUAGCGCCUGUAUCAAUUAACCACGAACCAUUUUUCUGACGGUUCAAGGGGAUGGAUGAGGAGGCCAUUGCACUGAGACGCUGGGCUGGAAUGCGUCCUUCGUAUGCAGCAUUCAUGCGCUGGUAACAGUCAAGGGCAGGAUGCCCUUCUUUUCCACAAAUCUGGCAGGUUAUUCGUCCUCCUCCACAACGUUCCCCAUUACUGGCAGGAACACGUUGGUAAUUAUUGUUGUUGUUGCGAGGACCAAAGCCUCGUUGGUUGACACCACCACGGUUAGACGGAAAGCCAGCUCGUCCACCACCACGAGAACGUCCACCACGUCCUCUUGCAGCUACAAAGGCAUUCACAGGGGCUGAUUCAACUAGUGAAACAAUUUGUUCAGCCAUUCUCCUCUCUGUAGUCAGGAGAAGAGAUUCAAGAGUAGGGUACGUGAUCGGAGUAUCACGUGCCUGUGCUGCAUUAACCGUCAUUUCGAACGCGGAACCUAGAUUAUUCAAAAUGAUUUGGACGAGUUCAUCAUCGUCCACAUGCUUACCAACUAGAGCCAAAUUGUCAGCAAUGGCAUUCAUCUUAUCAAGAAAGUCAGCAAUAGAUAAAUCACCCUUCUUACAUUGGAGUAGUUCAUUUCGCAGGAAAAGAAUUCGAUUCUGCGAAGAAGAAGCAUACCUUUGCUCCAGUGCUUCCCAUGUUGCACGAGCUGAUCGUUUGCUUGCCACAGUAGCAAGGACAGAGGCUGUAAGGGAGCCAUUGAUCCAACUCAGGAUCAUUUGGUCUUGCUGCAUCCAAGUGUUGUAGGCGGGAUUGACAGUGGUGCUUCCAGCGAGAUACUUGGAUGGACAGACAACGGAACCAUCCACAUACCCCAUAAGAUCACGGCUCUUAAGGAUUGGAAGAAUCUGGGCUAACCAUAACAGAUAGUUAGUCCUAUCGAGCUUGAUGUUGACAAUGGUAGUCAUGGACGAAGACAUGUUGAUUAGAGCAGUUGCAGGUGGUGGGGUUUGCUGGGAAUCAAGGAAGGUGUUGUUGUUGUUGGAAGACAUGCUGGAAAAAAAAAAAUUAUGGAUCGUUUGUCGUUGGACUUAAGAGGCUCUGUAUACCAUAAAAGUUCUAGGAUUGUAGAUUGUAGGGAAAACAAAACACUCAGGAAAGAUAUAACUCUACACAAGGUUUUCACUGUGAUUCACACUCUACAAAGAGAGGCUGCAUGUAUUUAUAUUUACGUACUUAAUACAUCAGGAAUAUGCUGCACGUGGUGCAUGUGUUUGAGGACCUAUAAACUAACAAGCAGUCCAUGCUGCACAUGCUGAGGACAAAUAUAAAAUUAACAAGUCCAUGAUCAUCUCCAUGCUGCCCGUGCCUGACUUGUCGAAGACCACAUGUGGAGAUAGAAAAUUGAUAUAUAAAACUGACAGCCCAUACUUCUUGGUUCCCACAUUCAAGUUCUAACUGUGCGUCUAACAGGUAGACGGUUCACUUUCAGAUCCACCACUUCCAUAGCUCAUUAAAAUACUUAAUGUCAGCAGAAUCUUUUGUUUUUAAUCUUUCUUUUUGCUUGAAUUCAGGAUCAUCAAUAGUGGACGACUUGUGUUAGUCUUUUACAAACACAAGUGGUGACCCUCCAAAGUCUUUACAUUCAAUAUUUCAUCUUCUAUAUUAAGACUAAAAAUUGCAUGCUCCCUCCCUUGAUCUUUUUGUGCAACAUAUGAUUCUCUAUGGAACCACAUUCCUCAAGAAUAAUAGUUGUGACUGUUUUGGUGUCGCUCUCGUUGAGCUUGGCACUGAUAUCCUUGGUUUUGGCCUCGACUUCAUGCAAGUUCCCGGCUGUUUUCAACUUCGGUGACUCAAACUCCGACACCGGUGGCUUCUCUGCAGUUUUUUAGUCAGGCGGGUCCGCCUCAUGGCCAGUCUUAUUUCCACCGCCCGGCCGGUAGUUAUUGCGAUGGCCGCCUGGUCAUUGAUUUCAUAGGUAACACUCCAUCCAUCUGCCAUCUUCCCAUCCGUACAGUUUGUGAAAUAUGGUAGACUGGUAGUUGAAGAAGCUAGGACAGAAGGGUAGAGUUCAAGAGAGCAAAAUGCGUUUAGGAAAGUGGAAUAUAGGAACCUUAACGGGAAAAUCUAUGGAAGUAGUGGAAGUUAUGGUGAGGAGAAGGAUAAAUAUUAUGUGCCUACAAGAAACUAAGUGGGUUGGUAGUAAGGCAAAGGAUCUAGAAAACUCAGGGUUUAAACUUUGGUAUUCGGGCACAAAUAGAACGAGAAACGGUGUUGGCAUCAUCGUGGACAAGACCUUGGUACAAGAUGUUGUAGAUGUCAAGAGGGUAGGAGAUAGAAUCAUGGCAAUCAAGAUUGUAAUAGGACAAGAACUUAUCAAUGUGAUUAGUGCGUACGCACCUCAAGUAGGGUUGGAUACGAGUUCGAAGGAGAAAUUUUGGGAAGAUCUUGGAGACUUGGUGCAAGGAAUUGCUCAGACGGAGAAGUUAUUUAUAGGAGGAGAUUUAAAUGGACACGUGGGCAGGGAGACAGGCAACUAUGGAGGUUUUCAUGGUGGCCAUGGUUUUGGGGAGAGAAACGAGGAUGGGGAAGCUAUCUUGGAUUUUGCAAUGACAUAUGAUCUCUUCUUAGCCAACACCUUCUUUAAGAAGAGAGAAGAACAUGUGAUCACCUACAAGAGUGGGUCGUCAAAAACACAAAUAGAUUUUCUUCUAAUGAGGAAAGGGGAUCGUAUAACUUGUAAGGAUUGCAAAGUUAUACCAGGAGAGAGCGUGGCUAAUCAACAUCGCUUGUUGGUGAUGGAUGUACAUAUCAAAAGAGUAAGACAAAAGAACAAGACUUGGAAGUGCCCAAGGACUAGAUGGUGGAAUCUAAAAGAAGAAAAACAAGCCAUUUUCAAAGAGAAGGUAAUCACCCAAUGUGUGUGGGAUAGAGAGGGGGAAGCUAGCCAAAUGUGGGAUUCCAUGGCUAGUUGUAUCCGAAAAGUAGCAAAAGAGGUAUUAGGAGAGUCCAAGGGCUUUGCCCCACACCAAAAGGAAUCUUGGUGGUGGAAUGAGGAGGUACAAACGAAGGUGAAGGCUAAGAAGGAAUGUUGUAAAGCCUUAUACAAGGAGAGGACCGAUGAAAAUGGUGAAAGGUAUAGAAAAGCGAAGCAAGAGGCGAAGAAAGCUGUCAGAGAAGCUAAGUUAGCGGCUUACGACGAUAUGUAUAAACGACUAGAUACCAAAGAAGGAGAGUUGGAUAUCUAUAAACUAUCUAGAGCAAGGGAAAAGAAGACAAGGGACCUAAACCAAGUGAGGUGCAUCAAGGAUGAGGAUGGAAAGGUUCUUGCUACAGAGAACGCGGUUAAAGACAGAUGGAGAGGUUAUUUUCAUAAUCUUUUCAAUAAAGGACAUGAAAUGAGUGCUUCUUUAGGGGAGUUGAGUAACUCAGAAGAGUGUAGAAACUACUCUUUUUAUCGUCGAAUCCGGAAGGAAGAAGUGGUUGUAGCUUUGAAGAAGAUGAAGCAUAUAAAAAAGCAAUAGGCCCAGACGAUAUACCAAUCGAAGUGUGGAAACUUUUGGGAGAGACAGGUAUAACAUGGCUCACUGACCUUUUCAAUAGGAUUUUGAAAACGAAGAAGAUGCCAAAUGAGUGGCGAACGAGCACUUUGGUGCCUAUCUACAAGAAUAAGGGCGACGUACAAAAUUGCAUGAACUAUAGGGGUAUUAAGCUAAUGAGUCAUACAAUGAAGCUCUGGGAGAGAGUCAUUGAGCAUAGAUUGAGGCAAGAGACACGGGUUUCGGACAACCAAUUCGGGUUCAUGCCAGGGCGCUCAACCAUGGAGGCAAUCUAUCUCUUACGAAGAUUGAUGGAAAGAUAUAGAGAUGGGAAAAAGGAUUUACACAUGGUCUUUAUAGAUUUGGAAAAAGCGUAUGAUAGGGUCCCAAGAGACAUUCUUUGGAGGAUUUUAGAGAAGAAAGGAGUACGAGUAGCAUAUAUCCAAGCUAUAAAGGAUAUGUAUGAAGGAGCAAAGACUGCCGUAAGAACUCAUGAAGGACAAACCGAAAGCUUUCCCAUAACUGUAGGAUUACAUCAAGGCUCAUCCUUAAGUCCUUACCUUUUUGCGUUGGUAAUGGAUGAGUUAACAGGACAUAUUCAAGAUGAUAUUCCUUGGUGUAUGCUUUUCGCAGACGAUAUAGUGUUGAUAGAUGAAACUCAGGAAGGGGUAAAUGCAAAGCUUAACCUUUGGAGAGAAGUGUUGGAAUCUAAAGGUCUUCGCCUAAGCCGAUCAAAGACAGAAUAUAUGGAGUGCAAGUUCAGUGCAAAUGGAGGCCAAAACGAGUUAGGGGUGAGGAUCGGAGAUCAAGAAAUACCAAAGAGCGACCGUUUUCGUUACCUAGGAUCUAUCUUGCAAAAGAACGGAGAAUUAGAUGGAGAUCUCAACCAUAGAAUACAAGCUGGAUGGAUGAAGUGGAAGAGUGCAUCCGGCGUGUUGUGUGACCGCCGUAUGCCACUGAAGCUCAAGGGAAAAUUUUAUAGGACGGCAAUAAGGCCGGCGAUGCUGUAUGGCACAGAAUGUUGGGCGGUGAAACAUCAACACGUACACAAAAUGGGUGUAGCGGAGAUGAGGAUGCUUCGUUGGAUGUGUGUGGGCACACGAGAAAGGAUAAGAUUAGGAAUGAGGAUAUCCGGGGGUAAAGUAGGAGUAGCCGAAAUUGAAGGAAAGAUGAGAGAAAAUCGGUUACGGUGGUUUGGACAUGUGCAAAGAAGGCCUACUGACGCUCCGAUUAGAAGAUGCGACUAUGGGACAGAGGUUCAGGGCCGAAGGGGUAGAGGAAGACCUAGGAAAACUUUGGAAGAGACUCUAAGAAAAAGACUUAGAGUACUUGGAUCUAACGAAGGACAUGACACAGGAUCGAGCACAAUGGCGUUCUAAGAUUCAUAUAGCCGAUCCCACUCAGUGACUUGGAUUUUCCAAGUCUCCAACUGAGAAGUUUUCCUCACUCGGGAAAUUAAGGGAACACUACCCCAACCUACAUGCUCCACUCAGAAAGCUUCAACAUACAAGCUUCAACAAAAGAAAAAUUCAAAGAACUUAGCGAAGAAGGCUUUUUGGUGUAUUUAACACAAUACGUUGAAAUGAAGGAAAGCUUAUUUAUUGAUAUCCCCGAUAAGCUACAAAUAUGUACAUAUACAUGAGUCAAAAUAAACACACAAGAGGGAGCCUUCACAAAGGUUGCUUAGGAGAAGUCUCAGCAGUCGGUAGAGCCCCAGAAAGAGAAGGCACCGGAGGGGGAUCAUUUGGAGCCUCAGUACUGGACAGAACCCUAGAAGGAGGAGGCAUCAGAGGUUGAUCAUUUGGAGCUUCAUUACGCGGUACAGCCCCAGAAGACGAAGGCAAUAAAUGCCUUUGGAACAAACCCACAAAUCUCUGAUGAUCAAGUAAAACCUGACCAUCAGUUUCCUUCAUCUGGUCAAGCUUCCUCUUCAUGUUUGGUAGCAUAGUCAUGUGCGAGCCGGUGCAACUGUUUAUUCUCAUGCUUGAGCCCUCUAAUCUCCUGUUUGAGACUCAUCACUUCAGCCGCCAAUGAUUCAACUUGGCGGGUUCGAGCAAAUAGGCGUUGGGCCAUAUUAGACACAGAACCUGCACACUGAACACUGAGAGCCAGCGAAUCCUUAACAGCUAACUCAUCUGACCGUUUGGAAAGUAGUCUGUUAUCUUUGGGAGUGAGAAGGUUCCUGGCCACCACCGCAGCGGUCAUAUCAUUCUUCAUCACGGAAUCCCCAACGGUAAGAGGACCAGUAGGGGAGACGAAGGAUGGGCGCCAUAUGUUGUCUGGAGAAGGCGGGGCUGCCUCUUCAACAAGGUUCAAGUCAAAACGACGGUCGGAGGGGCCAGACAUUUUCAAAGGUGUUGAAGAGAGAAGAGGUCAGACAAAUCAAGAUCUUAGAAGUGCAAGAAUGAAGCUUCUACUGGUGGAGAUUCAAGUGUGCUUUGGAACUUAAUGCCAGCCCCUAUAAAAAUCUGCACUCGACGGAGCUUCAGAAAUCGAAGAGACGCCUGCUCAGAAAUCGAAGAGGCGUUUGCUUUCUCAAAAGCUGAGCUGCUUAGAGAUCACGAGGGUUGAUCUCAGAAAUCGAAGAGGCGUUUGCUUUCUCAAAAGUUGGGCUGCUCAAAGACCACGAAGGCCGAUCUCAGAAAUCGAAGAGGCGCUCGCUUUCUCAAAAGCUGGGCUCCCCAGAGAUCACGAGGGCCGAUCUCAAAAAUCGAAGAGGCACCUACUUUUCCAGCCUUGUCAGCACCUGUCACACGCACACUCAGCUUUGCGGAAAUUAUGGGCAUUCUGUCGAAAGACUUCUGGGGAAGUAGAAAACACAUGAAUCUUACUGUUCAAUCACCCACUUCCCACACGCAACAAUAGCUCAUGGGUACCACAGAUAACUUUGCCAAAGUUCUCUGCCAAAGGUUGAGCACGUGAAGCUUGCAGCUCCCACUACAUCGCUCUGACCAAGAAGGGUAAAAGAAUAGCAAAGAAACAGCACUAACAAAGUUUAGACCCAUAAAUUUUGAAGGUCUAGCUACCAUAUUAUUACCCACAAGGGUAAAGGAACAGUACCACUGCUGGAUAAUUGGAAAGUCCCUGUGUGUCAACCUCUGUGCUUCGUGGCAAGGUAGACUAGCAAACAUGCCCAACCUUUACUCACAUUCGAGAAAACACUCCCAAUAAGAUUGCUUGCUCCAAAAUCGAAGAGGCACCGUCCUCCGAAUCUCGAGAGCCAGACUCCCAACAUGACUACUUUAUUAAAAAUCGAAGAGAGGGUAAAGGAACAGUACCAUUGCUGGAUAAUUGGAAAGUCCCUGUGUGUCAACCUCUGUGCUUCGUGGCAAGGUAGACUAGCAAACAUGCCCAACCUUUACUCACAUUCGAGAAAACACUCCCAACAAGAUUGCUUGCUCCAAAAUCGAAGAGGCACCGCCCUUCCGAAUCUCGAGAGCCAGACUCCCAACAUGAUUACUUUCUCAAAAAUCGAAGAGACACUGCUCCCCGAAUCUUCGAGAGCCAGACCCCCAGCAUGAUUGCUUUCUCAAAAAUCGAUGAGGCAUCGUUCUCCGAAUCAAUCGAAGAGGCGCUCGCUUUCUCAAAAGCUGGGCUGCUCAGAGACCACGAGGGCCGAUCUCAGAAAUCGAAGAGGCACCUACUUUUCUAGCCUUGUCAGCACCUGUCACACGCACACUCAGCUUUGCAGAAAUUAUGGGCAUUCUGUCGAAGAUUUCUGGUGAAGUAGAAAGCACAUGAAUCUUACUGUUCAAUUACCCACUUCCCACACGCAACAAUAGCUCAUGGGUACCACAGAUAACUUUGCCAAAGUUCUCUGCCAAAGUUGAGCACGUGAAGCUUGCAGCUCCCACUAACAUCGCUCUGACCAAGAAAGGUAAAAGAAUAGCAAAGAAACAGCACUAACAAAGUUUAGACACAUAAAUUUUGAAGGUCUAGCUACCAUAUUAUUACCCCACAAGGGUAAAGGAACAGUACCACUGCUGGAUAAUUGGAAAGUCCCUGUGUGUCAACCUCUCUGCUUCGUGGCAAGGUAGACUAGCAAACAUGCCCAACCUUUACUCACAUUCGAGAAAACACUCCCAACAAGAUUGCUUGCUCCAAAAUCGAAGAGGCACCGUCCUCCGAAUCUCGAGAGCCAGACUCCCAACAUGACUACUUUCUCAAAAUCGAAGAGAGGGUAAAGGAACAGUACCAUUGCUGGAUAAUUGGGAAAGUCCCUGUGUGUCAACCUUUGUGCUUCGUGGCAAGGUAGACUAGCAAACAUGCCCAACCUUUACUCACAUUCGAGACAACACUCCCAACAAGAUUGCUUGCUCCAAAAUCGAAGAGGCACCGCCCUCCGAAUCUCGAGAGCCAGACUCCCAACAUGAUUACUUCCUCAAAAAUCGAAGAGACACUGCUCUCCGAAUCUCGAGAGCCAGACCCCCAGCAUGAUUGCUUUCUCAAAAAAUCGAAGAGGCAUCGUUCUCCGAAUCUCGAGAGCCAGAUACCACAGACCACUUUUUUCAAAGUGCUCUGACAGAGUUAAAACAUGUGAAACUGACAGCUCCCACUACCGUGCUAUGACCAAGCAGGGUAAAGGAAUAGCAUUACUACUUGUUGUUAGGGAGACUCCUAUAUAUGUCGACCUCCAUCCCCAACGGACAGGCAGACCUGCAAAAAUGCUCAACCCUUCAUCAUAUCUGAAGAGGGCACUCCCAACGAAGCCAUUUCAAAAUAUUCAGCUUUCUUUCCCCCCGAUAAUACCUCUGCAAACAAGCUAUACUAGAGCAAGAAUAUCUCAUAUCAUCAGGGUUAAAAGCAAGAGUAUCCCAUAUCAUGCUUUUUCCCUGUCUUUUCCUUUGGCCUUGUUUUUACCUGUAAGACAAGGAGAAAGAGAGCAAUCAGUCAGCACUUGGAAUCAAGCUUCCAGCCAGGAACUGACUUCCUGGAACCCCUUACCUGAUUACUUACCUGGCAUUGCUCUCGAGUACUCAUCUUCAACAUCUUAUGUUUCCAGGGAAGAUUCCGCAUCUGCUUGAGGAACAGAUAGGGCAAGUACGAAGGAUACAAGGAAGCAUGUGGAGACAAGCGUAACAGCACACGUGCCGAUACAUCCAUUACUCUGUCAAAAGCAAAAGUAUCCCAUAUCAGCAGGGUGGAACGUACUCUAGAUUUGAUGGACUUGUUUUGACCCUCAAAUUCUUCAGUCGGCCUUAUACUCUGGAGGAAACCAGAAAACCCUCCAGCUCAGUUCAAGAAUAAGCCUGUGGAAAGUUACUUCUUCAAAAGCAAAAGUAUCUCAUAUCAUCUCUUCUCAUUUUUCUUCUCUUUAUCCUUCAUGCUGUUGCAAGACGGGGAGAAGGUGAACAAUCAGUCGGAGCUCUGAUUGCUUACCUUGUCUGUCACCUCUUUCAGCAGACCCCCUAGCUCGGCGACUUGGGGGACUCCUACUACAUGGAUUUGUAUCGCGCUUGACCAAGCCUGAAACUACAAGUAAGCUUCAAGUGAAAUUGAUACAUUACCUUGUGCAUCUCCACCAGUUAAAGAUACCACCCCCUGGAUGGAGGAAAAGUACUUCCAGAAAAGAUGCCACAUCUACCUAUGAGACUAUUAAGGCAAGUCAAGACGACACCACACUCCGAUACUUAGAAGUUUCGUGAUUACGAGAUCAUUCUCCCACAAUAUUUCCUAAUGUCAUUUGUACUAAAUCAUUCACUUGUACUCACUAAAGGAGAGCUUGAACCUAUGUACUUGUGUAAACCCUUCACAAUUAAUGAGAACUCUUCUAUUCCGUGGACGUAGCCAAUCUGGGUGAACCACGUACAUCUUGUGUUUGCUUUCCUAUCUCUAUCCAUUUAUAUACUUAUCCACACUAAUGACCGGAGCAAUCUAGCGAAGAUCACAAAAAGCGACCGUUUUCGCUACCUAGGAUCUAUCUUGUAAGAGAACGGAGAAUUAGAUGGAGAUCUCAACCAUAGAAUACGAGCUGGAUGGAUGAAGUGUAAGAGCGCAUCCGGCGUGUUGUGUGACCGUCGUAGGCCACUGAAGCUCAAGGGAAAAUUUUAUAGGACGGCAAUAAGGCCAGCGAUGUUGUAUGGCACAGAAUGUUGGGCGGUGAAGCAUCAACACGUACACAAAAUGGGUGUAGCGGAGAUGAGGAUGCUUCGUGGGAUGUGUGGGCACACGAGAAAGGAUAAGAUUGGGAAUGAGGAUAUCCGAGGUAAAGUAGGAGUAGCCAAAAUUGUAGGAAAGAUGAGAGAAAAUCGGCUCCGGUGAUUUGGACAUGUGCAAAGAAGGCCGACUGACGCUCCGGUUCGAAGAUGUGACUACGGGACAGAGGUUCAGGGCCGAAGGGGUAGAGGAAGACCUAGGAAAACUUUGGAAGAGACUCUAAGAAAAGACUUAGAGUACUUGGAUCUAACGGAGGACAUGACACAAAACCGAGCGCAAUGGCGUUCUAGGAUUCAUAUAGCCGACCCCACUUAGUGGGAAAAGGCUUUGUUGUUGUUGUUGUUGUUGUUGUGCUCAUGUGAUUGAAAACGAUUCAUAUUAUAACAAGUGGAUUAGUAACACUUCUAAAUAAUUGCUCGAGAAAAAUUAUCUAAUAAUCAUAGCUCGAUUGAAUGCAUUGUUUUCAGCUAAAAGCCUCGGAUUUUCAUUUCUUAGCGCAUAUCUGAUUCAAUGGGUAGCAACCUAACUCAUGGAGCCAACUUCGCAACGUUGUCCUCGACCAUAAGACCCCCCAACACAACUCUUCGUCAGAGUGGGAUUAGUCCGAUCUCCUUGACCGUUCAACACAACGAGUUCUACAUUUUUCCUUCGAGAUCCCAAAUCGUUCGAGUCAAGGUUCGUAAUACUACUUAUACGCGUAUAGUUUUCUCUAGUGCAGCUAAUUGUACUCUUUUAAAAUCCGAAUGUGGUGAGUUAAUAUCGCUAAUACUUCAACAGUAUAAUAUGAUUUUCAACGUGUCAUCUAUAAACUUCAAUGUAGGCGUGGGGUAUUUGAACAACUAAUGCCUAAAGCAGAAGAUAUUGUCUCUCGUGCUUUAUACACAUUUGAUAUUGGUCAGAACGAUUUAACUGCCCUUAUUCUUCAACAUGUCUACUACCCAAGUCAAAGCAUAUGUUCCUGAUGUACUAAAUCAGUUCAAAAACACUGUCGAGGUAAUUAGUGUGAUCAUAGCCACAUUUUAUUAAAGGUCAAGUACCAAAAUAAUCCAUGUGUUUUACCGAAUUCGCCACAUUUAAUUUGUUUGUGACGUACUUGCUAUAUACAGAAUAUAUACGAAUCUAGGAGGUAGAUACUUUUGGAUACACAAUACAGGUCCCGUAGGUUGCCUCACAUACGUAUUGUCCCGCCUACCUAUCUUAGCCGGACAGGUGGACAAGGCCGGAUGUGCCGCACCUUACAAGGAAGUUGCUCAGUUUUUCAACCUUGGAUUAAAAGAAGCUAUGGUCCAAUUAAGAAAAGAACUUCCAUUGGCUGCAGUCAGUCACAUACGUUGAUGUCUACUCAGGCAAGUACUCGCUCAUUAGCCAUCCCAAGAAGCAUGGUAAGCUUAAAUUUUAAACAUACACAUCUGAUUUUGCGCGUUGGAAAGUUAAGAAACCUUCCAACAGUUUACAUCGAAUUUGUUGAUGUGAAUGUAAAAAAAGUUGCAGGAUUCGAGCAGCCGAUAAGAGCAUGUUGUGGUCAGGGUGGGGAGUACAAUAACCAGAUCCAUGGAGGGAAGGUUAUGGUGGAUGGGAAAGGCAUGCAAAGACCCGUCACUGUGGGUGAAUUGGGAUGGAUUUCACUACACUCAAGCAGCUAACAAAAGGGUCUUUGAUCUAAUUGCAGAUGGUUCACUACAGCAAGCUCAUUAGAUCACAUGUGACUCUUUUUCUGUUCAUAUAAAAAAUAGGAGAAAGGUCUCAAGUAGCAUUAUUAUAAUAUCGCUAAUAACGACAACAUAUUGAUACUUUAUUUUCGGACCAAAAUUAUUUGGAACUAUUUGCUAUAAUAAUUGAUUAUUCAUGGCCAACAUGAUAAUUUAUUAUUGAGAAUGUUCAUAGUCGAAACUGUCCAUACAUGCGUCUACCCAAUGCAUGCACUUCAUUAUCCAUCAAGUUAUAGUUUGCGUAUAACCAAAAGGGUACAUUUUCUUAACCCAUAUUUAAGGAUCACCUAAAUGGCUAAACGGUCUUCAAUGAAAUUGACAAUCAUAUUUGUAUCAAACAAAAUGGUCGCACGGUUAAUCGUGAGAAUAUGAAGUGCUACCAAACCCGUUUUACAUUCUAUAUACAUAAAUAAUUAAACGAUAUGCAAUUAUAAUUAAACGAUAUGCAAUUUGAUUAAACUUUGCAUAAAGCUUUAAACCAUGUUAAUGAAUAUUCCAACAAAUUGCAAAAUCGUGCGACAUUUUUUAUUACAAUCGUGCGAUAUUCAAUUUGAUUAAUACAAGAAGAUGAUUGUGGAGCCAAAAAUAUUCACAAGGCGACACGUGGGUUUUUUGGACAAAAAGGACAAAAAUACCCUCGAGGCAUACCGGGUCUCCUACACGCGAGCAGUGGAGAAUCAUCCAUCAACCAAGUCAGAAGUACCCAAAAUGGGUAACAAUUCAAAACCUAUUUCAUAUAUGUUUUUACCUCAUUUUUUCCUUAUUCAAUUAGCCAUUUAUUUCAAACAUUCCAUAACAUCCUCAACCAAUUAAUAUAAUCAAUAUAUUAAAGGCUAAUUACAUCACCAAAUCACCCCAAAAUCACACCAAGGGCCGGCCAUUCCCAUCCAAAAAGAGCCUAUCAUAUUCUCUACCUUUUCCACCAUUUUCCCUUUUUAAUUACACUAAUUAGCUAGCCAAUUAAACCCAUAACCAUCAAAACAUUCCUUUAUGUUUAAAUUAGCCAAUUAAUCAUAAUAAAUUGGCUAAUUAAACCUAAAUUAAACCUAAAAACCCUAGCCACCUCCUAACUCUAUAAAUAGGCACCUUUUCUCACCAAAAAAUCAAUUCCAAUACUUUGGCAAAAAUCCCAAAAUUCUCUAAACACUCUUUCUCUCUAAAUUCUAACUUUGGCAUCGGAGGUUCUUCGGCCAAAGCCCCCCCAUUCAUCGUGGGCGCGUGAGGCUCUUGGCCUUAACCUAAGGUGUUAAUUGUUUUGUAGGUGCAAAAUCGUCCAAGAUCGAGGAGGAAGAAAUUUGCAUCCACAAUGAUCAACAUCACAGAGACGUUAAUUGCAACAUUGUGCGAUAAUCCAACGGUUCAAAUCAACUGGGACGGAGCCACUUCACGUAAGCAGCCAACAGGUGGAUAUUCCAACAAAUUGUGAAUGGCUCCUUUUCGGACCCACCAAACCCCUUGUAAACGGGAAUUGGAUCUUGUCCGAGGCAAAUCCUCAGGAUCCUUCUAGCCCAAUAACACGAGCUAUAAAAAAUUCAACGGCUACAAUUAUUAUAAUUUUUAGAAGGACCUCCUGUUUGUAGCCGUUGCAUCAAAAUCCAACAGCCCGUGUUAGUAGAUCAAGAGGAUCCCGAGGGGUUUGCCUCGGAGAGGAUCCAAUUCCUUGAAAACGGCAUGUCGUUACAAGUAGAAAGGACCACUGAAAUACUAAAUCACUAAAAUCACUUUGGUGUUUGUUGGUGUUUUUUCCUUUUGUUUUGCAUAUGCCUUUUCGCUCUUGUUUUGAUGUGCUUUUAAAAUGACUGAAAACUCUUUUGAUGAAAAAACUUUUAAGACCUUAACAAAAUACAAGUUGUUGAUGCACAAAACCGGAUGGUCUUGGAACAACGUAAAUCCGACCGUGAAUCUGCAAGUAAUGUAAAUAACACAAGAUGUAUCGUGGUUCACCCCAAUGUUUGGGCUACGUCCACACUGAUUGUAUUGUAUUUCUCUGAGAAGUGAGGGAGAGAGUGUGAGAGCUUUGCUCUAGCCAGGAGUCACCUUUUGGUUUGUGAGGGUGAGGAGGCCCUUUUAUAGAAUAAGGGCUCCUCCCCUAAUUACAUAUUUGCCCCUUCAUUUAUUACAUAAUUACAUUUAAGUCCCCCGAGUAUUUAUACGAGGUCUAAAUACGAGGCCCUAAAUAUGGUAUAAACAGUAGUCCCCCAAGUCUUCAGUCAAGAGAGUCUUUUGGCUGGAAACUUGAAAUUCAGUCCAUGUGUGGGCCGAAGUAACUAGACGUUGUCUUGAACUGAUGCCCGAUAUGAGGCGGUGCUCAAAGUGAAAUGAUGCUCAUCCAGAAGUAGCACACGCUGCUCGGCUGCUCGUCUCGUGGCUUAUGUUGCCUUGGUUGGCUCAGCUUGCUGCGUUUGAAUGUGAGGGAGUCCCUUUUAUAAAAUAAGGGCUCACUCCUCAAUACAUGAAUGAUGGGCUAGAGUUGAUGCUCGUGGCGAGUCGGUUGCUCAGUAGGCGGCGAUGCCCUCUAAUGGUGGUGAGGGAGUCCCUUUUAUAAAAUUAGGGCUCGUUCCUCAGUACAUGAAUAAUGGGUGUUCUCUAAUGAAAGUGAGGAAGUCCCUUUUAUAGAAUAAGAGCUCGCUCCUCAAUACAUAAAUAAUGGGCUAGAGUUGAUGCUGGCGGCGAGGCGGUUGCUCAGCUGGCGGCGAGGCGGUUGCUCAGCUGGCGGCGUUGCUCUCUAAUAAUGGUGAGGGAGUCCCUUUUAUAAAAUAAGGGCUCGCUCCUCAGUACAUGAAUAAUGGGCUAGAGUCCCCCAAGUAUUUUUCAUAAGGCCCAGUUGAGGCCCAAUAUAUGGUAUAUAAUGUAGUCCCCCAAGUCUUCGGUCAAUAGACGCUGUUGGCUGGAGACUUCAAAUUCAAUCCAUGUAUGGGCUGAAAUGGCGGUUGUUCGGAGGCGGUCUUUGUAGACCAUGCACUGAAGCUUUGUAGGUGAAGCUUUGCAAGUGAAGCUUUGAAGCUGGAGCUCUGUAAAUGAAGCUUUUGAAGCUAAGACUUUGUAAAUGAAACUUUUGAAGCUGAUUGUCAUGAGUGAUGCUCAUGAAUGUUUAAUUGACAUGAGUGAUGCUCAUGAAUGUUUAAUUGACAUGAGUGAUGCUCAUGGAUGUUAACAUGAGUGAUGCUCAUGAAUGUUAACAUGAGUGAUGCUCAUGAAUGUUUAUGUAUGAUUGAUAUGAGUGAUGCUCAUGAAUGUCUAUGUACGAAUGACACGAGUAGUGCUCAUGUAUAAUUUUGAAGUACUGGGUGUACUUUUGAUCACCUGGUUGGUGGCAUAAAUGGCUAAUUGCCAAAUUAUUUUAGAGUACGGUUUGUACAUUUCAUCACCUGGUUGGUGGUAUGAAUGGCUGGUUGCCAAAUGAUAUUGGAGUACGGGUUGUACAUUUCAUCACCUGGUUGGUGGUAAUAGCGGCAGGUUGCCGAAUAAUUUUGGAGUACUGGGCGUACUUUUGGUCACCUGGUUAGUGAUAAUAGACGCAAGUUGCCGAAUAAUUUUUGGAGUACUGGGCAUACUUUUGGUCACCUAGUUGGUGCUAUUUUGGGCUUAUGGGCCUUCGCCCUCCACGACAUGCCAGCCCAUUAAUUUUGGGCUUUGCCGUUUUUGUUUUUGGUUUUUUUUUUUUUUGUAUUAUUACCCUCUGAUGGGGUUUAUACAGAUGUCUUUGAGAGAUAAAAAAAUAAUAAAUUACAUCAUUCAAAAAAUCAAUAAAGCAGUCUGUGUUACUUUUGCUUUUGCUUUUAUUUUCUGCUUCGCUUUUGCUUUCCCAUGUGCUAUCGCAGAGCAAAGCUUCCCUUUUUUCUUUGUUUUUGCAUGUGGGUGGUCGACAGUGCGGUCUCCUCCUCAUCAGUACCUCCAACACCAACUUAGCAUCUUAAAUACUUUGGAGAGCCACCAGAGUAUUUAGUGGUGGUGGUGGGGUUCUGUCUUCAAGAUCCAUAGCUCCAUCCCCCUUCCUAUCAACCCCUUUAAUCAUUUUCCCAUACUUUUUCAGUCUACACUUUUGGCAUCCCAGGCUCACCAAAACCUUCUACAACUGUUCGUUGUUUGGGUCAACGUCAUCGUCGCCAUCACUUGCGAACUUGCCACCGAUUCGACGAGCUUGAAAAGCAAAAGCUUGGGAUCCGAAGUGUCGAUCUCGUUGUGGAUGAUGCCGAGGGAGAAGAGCUUGUAGAAGCAGUCGAUGGCAGGGUAGACGACCUUGGGGUAAGCUGAAUCUACGGCGAGGAGGACGGGGCCGAGGGCAAACUCGGCGUCGGAAAGAAAAAUUCCAGAAAUGGGUGACUUUGGAUCGAAGAUAGAGGAGUUGGUGACGGAAUCGAGCUUGUCGAGGGCGGAUUUGCAGGCGGAGACCAACUAGAGUGCUUGCGCCAGGCGACGUUCUUGAUGAUUUUAUCGAGGUUGACCCCGGUGACGCACGAUGUAUUCAUUCAGUUUCUUCAUGCCCUUGAAAGCCGCCUGGAACCGGGGCUCCAUUUUGGAAAUGAAAUUUCAUGCGGACCCGACCCGACUAGCGUCCAGGAAUAUACCGAGUUCCUUCCGCUAUGAACUCGCCAGUUUUAGGUGGUGCGUGAUCGUCGGAGAAGCAUAAUACAUGCCGGACAUUGACACCGUUGGAAUCGCUGACCAAGGAACCUUUUAGGAUUUGGGUGUUCCCACACCCAGUCACCAUGGAUGUGUGCUCGAGAGUUGCUUCUUCUCUUCGUUGACUUCGACCUCCACCAUUGUUGUUUGGUUUCGAGUCCGUCGUCCUUGGAAGUUGUCUUCUUCUUCAUCACUGUUUCAAGUCAAGCCUCUCUAAGUUUCAAGCUCUGGAGAUCCAUCACAGGAAUCGGAUCCUCCGACUCAUGAACCGAGUUGACUCGGUCAUCCAAAUCAACGACCUGGGUUGAAUCUGGAAGUGAACGAAACGGUGGAUGGGUAGGAUUCAAAAGCCUUUUUUUUUUCUCAGAACAAUGGAGGUCAUCGUCUUCUCCUUCUGGGCGGCGAAGACUGUCCACUUGAUGUGGAGGCCGGUGGGGAGUGGGACAAAGACGGCGUCGAGUUGGGAUUGUCCAGAACGGCGUCAUAAGAGCCGUAGAUCUUAGCGGUCGGAGCGAAAUGGUUAGCCUUGGCGACACAUGUAGAAUUGUCAAUAAAGCGGCUUCUGCCAGUGUAAAGUGUUGCUUUUGGGGCUCGAGCUAUGGCCUACAAAUCACGUGGACUUUCAGGAAAGAGGACGCAAAUCGCGACCACCAAAGAUACCUGCCAACAAUUACGUUAUCUCCCUUCUUUUCUUUUGCCGUGUCUUCCACUUCUUUGUGGAAUUGUUUACAAUUCCACUAACAUUUUUUUCUUUCUUUAUUCCUUUCCUCCAUUUUCUUUUUCUAACAUCAAUGAUUGUGUUCAAACCAGAUUAGGUUUAGCCGACCGUGAGGAUGAGGAUGGCAUCGAGAGGGAUCCAAAGUAAUGUUGUCUCUGCCUUCCCUCAAGUACUUGGAUCUCCGCUUCACCAGGUCCUGGUGCUAUUUUCCGUAUCAGAGAUGUUUAACAAGUCAACAAGUCCACCUACAAUUAAACCAAUUAAAAGAGAACAGCAGCUAAAUCAGACACAAAGCUUGAAGAGGAAGAAGUGGCAGAGAGAGCAGCGGCAGAAGCGGCAGCGACUGAGGUAGCUAGAAAGCCCGGCUUCUUCAUCAGCGGAGAAGAUGGGUAUUCGCUAGCUGGAUACUUGGAUGGUUGGACCUGGAGAGCCUGAUCCAAGCUUUUGCUUUCUGCUGCUGCUGCUCAAUCGAAGGAGCCACCCUCUUGGACUUCGAACGACUAUUGAAGUUUUAGCACCAUGGUUUGCCAAGUUUAGAGAGCUGGUGGUGUUUACGGAUCAGAUUUGAAAAAAUUUCGAAGAAGCAGAGUUGGAUGUCGGAGUCGGGUGAGGUCGGCUGGGUCAAAAGGUCCGAGUGGGUCUCAUUUGUUGAAGAGGCGGAGCUCCACACUUACCUCUCUGCCCUCGUUGCGGUUCUCUUAGCUUAUUGCAUCCACCUUGAUUGGUGAAAGCUUGAGCCUGAGCUCCUCCUUUGCUCUGAGCUUCUCGAGCCGCUCUAACUCGUGCUUCUCCACGACGGGGCCGCAGCAGCCGCUUGAUCUGAUCCAGCCCCAAAAUCACCAGCUUCCUGGAGGGGGUCUUGAACAGAAACGCCAGUAUCAUAAGCAUUUCUGAUAAAAUCACUACGAACAGCAGCUGAAUCAUCUUUCUGGUGUUUUUGUUUUGGUGGGUUGUGGGGAAAGGCGUGAGUUCAGAGGCAGAGAGAGAGAGGGCUCUGUGUCUGUUUGAGAUUUUGAUUUUCUGUUUCUUUCUCUCACUAAAAAAUGGAAAACGAAAUGGGUUUUUUCUGGGUUCUUUUUGCAGAUACACGGGGAAGAUUGUGAAGGUUUCACGGUGGUGUGAUAAAAGAUUGAAAGAGAACCGAUGUAACUUUUCGUGUCGAUUCCCACAGACGACGCCAAAUGUUGAUGCACAAAAUCGAAUGGUCUUGGAACAACGUAAAUCCGACCGUGAAUCUGCAAGUAAUGUAAAUAACACAAGAUGUAUCGUGGUUCACCCCAAUAUUUGGGCUACGUCCACACUGAUUGUAUUGUAUUUCUCUGAGAAGUGAGGGAGAGAGUGUGAGAGCUUUGCUCUAGCCAGGAGUCACCUUUUGGUUUGUGAGGGUGAGGAGGCCCUUUUAUAGAAUAAGGGCUCCUCCCCUAAUUACAUAUUUGCCCCUUCAUUUAUUACAUAAUUACAUUUAAGUUCCCCGAGUAUUUAUACGAGGUCUAAAUACGAGGCACUAAAUAUGGUAUAAACACAAGUGAAACUUGAAAAAGUACUUGAAGCAAUUGAUACUUCUUGAAGAAAACACUUCAAAUUCUUUUAAAACCCAAAUAUACUUCAAAUUCUUUUGAAACCCAAAUAUUUUUUUUCUUCUAAAAGCACUUUUAGUUAAUUUAAAAGCUCUUACAUACGAGUUUUAAAACAACUUUUCAAAAUUUUCUAGUGAGGGCUCCACUAAUACUUUCAUUCCAUAGUAAAGAGUUUAUAUUGAUGAUAUUGUAUGGGCUCCUCUAAUACUUUCAUUCCAUAGUAACACCCUGGUAAUCUGCAAUUAGAAUCAAAUUUCUUAUUUUGAUUUCCAUUACAGACUAAUAAACAUGAUAAAAAUUAUUAUAUUACUUAUGUUAUUCAUAACCGAUUGUUUUGUAACAUGUACUUCAAGUGAUACAAACACACUUAUCUCGUACUCACAAGAAAAAUUCGACUAUUGCACAACCUAUCAUGGACAAUUCUACUAAAUACCUAAUAAAAAAAAACAAAUAUAUGAUCCAUAUAUAGAUAAAUGAUAAACUCAAAGUAGGCAGUUGGAUAAUUAGGAUUUGGAGGAUUAUAGGACAUGUUAAUGUGAUUCAAUCUGUUCUUGUCUAAUGAUGUUCCUAAUUCACAUCAUAUGUGGAAAAUCUCAUCUUGAUCUGCAUCAACGUUGGACCCUAAUCACCUCCAUCUAUCCUUAAUCACUUUGCUUUAACUUAAUCCAAUCAUGCCGCUAAUCGCCUCAUUCCACCUUCCAAGCAUAAACGAACAAGGAAAACAGAGAGGAUGUCCCACCUGCGUUAUCCUGCUCCACUGUCACAGCAGAACAUUGUUGUGCGGAAGCGUCAAAUAUGAAACCAAUAAGCUAAUACAGUAAAAUAUGACAAGACAAAUAAUCCAAAGAACACAAGGAUUUAUACUGGUUCGGCGUAAGCCUACGUCCAGUUCCGAGACGGCGAGGAAAUUCCACUAAUAUCAAAAGGAGAUUACAAAUAGAGUUUUAACUCUCAAACCCAAAUCCCACAUACACCUAAUAGCUCUCACUAAAACAAAGAACAAAUGGAGAAAAUGGAAACAUAUACCAAAUUCCUUCUCUCACUAAAGCCACAAUAUGUAGCACAAAUAUCUUUAAUUGAGUGAUCACUCACAAAGGGGGAAGGCAUCAACUCUAUUUAAUAUGGGAGAGCCGAAUGCUCUCUCCUCUGCUCACUGAUUAGAGCUGUCAACAAACAACUCCCUUUUUUCUCCUCUACUGCCGCUCCCACUUCACCAAAGGCAUAACAAAAAACAUAUAAUAAACAAAAGGAACAAAACCAUAAUUGCCACAUAUUCUUUGCCUUUGUAAAAGCCACAAAUCAAGGGCUAGACAUCAUAAUGAUGUCCCCCUUUUCCUUAUUCUAUUUUAUUAGCCGAAAGGUAUUUUGGCUUGUUGUCCACUUGGUCACAAAUCCAACAAUCUCCACCUUGACCAAGCUGUACCAAAGCCAACGAAAGUGAACAUUUCUCUACCGUCUUCUCCAAAUUUGCAAACCAUAAGUGCCUUGAUUAAAAAACAAAAGUGAUUCAAACGAAGAACUGAAAUUCUUCAAUAUCACCGACAAAAGAUCAAGCACACCAUACCAAAGUUGGACACACAACGAACUCCACCUGCUCACAAACACCAUGGUCUUAACUGCACCAAUAGACUCAUUCACAUAGCAUGGCACAUUCUCCAAGUCAAAACUGAUUACAAAUUUGGCAACAAGGUCUCACAUACCACAUACAAAAAUAUGCCCUUCACUCAAGUUUACCAUCAUCACAUGAGCACCAACAGGACAACCAAAUUUUAAAUUCAAAUAAUCAGCAGGAGAUCCAAAACCAUACCUCAACUGGAGUCUUCAAGAAAACUAAUUGCAGAUGAUGGAGACCAACAGACCAAAUAGCAGUGGCAAACAAAUCCAAACAAAUCCAACCAAAUGUCCAUAGACCAAAGUUAGAAAGCAUAUGACUUGCCUUCUACAAGAGGGUUCCACACAAAUGUUCCGCAUUAGGUGUCUCACUAUCAAAACCUUGCAGAACUCAACAAAUUGGUCCUCACUGAAUACAAUUUUACAAAAGGCAAAACCAUACCAAUAUCCAAAACAAACAAAAAACAAUGAAGAGGCAACUGACAAAACACAAGCACAACAUAACAGAAGAAUCCUUACAAACUCUUAAAUCUCCAUAUGUAGCGAAGAGAUUCAAGAGUACCCACAACACCAGAUUCCUUUUUUUUUUUUUUUUUUUUUUAAUAUUUCAGAUCUGGUGUAGCCAACUGUCAUCAUAGAACAAAGUCGAAGUCGUCAUCGACGACAUUCGCACUCGCACCAGCAUUAUCUUUCAGUUUUGGGCAAUCAACUUUCCAAUGCCCUUCCUUGCGACAAUAGUUGCAUGUGUUGUUUCUGGUCUUAGACUUCGAUCUCAAAUUUCCUUUAUUACUACCUGAACCAUAUUCCCUAUCUCUGCCUCUUGCUAUCAAAGCCUCAGAAUGAGAAUCAUUCAAAUUUCCAAAUACUUUGUUCUUUAACUCUCUUGAAUUCAAAGCGGCUUUUACAUUCUCCAUACAAAUAGAAUCCCUCCCAUAUAACAAAGUUUCAACAAAAUUCGCAUACGAAGGAGGUAAAGAACACAACAAAAUCAAAGAUUGAUCCUCAUCAUCAAUUUUAUUAUCCAUACUUUUCAAAUCCAUAAUAACCUUAUUAAACUCAUCAAGAUGGUUUUGAAUAGGUGUACCUUCAGUCAUAUGGAGAGUGUACAAACGUUGCUUCAAAUACAAACGAUUGGUGAGGGAUUUGGUCAUGUAUAUACUCUCCAACUUAAGCCACAAACCAGCUGCAGUAGUUUCAUUUUCCAUCUCACGAAGAACUUCAUCAGAUAGUGAUAACAUAAUUGCACUAUGUGCUCGAUUCAAAGCGUCUUCUUUUUCUUCAGCAGACCAAUCUUGUGGCAAGGCUUCCACACCCUGUAGCGCCUUAAGCAACCCUUGUUGAACUAGCACAGCUCGCAUCUUAACCCGCCACAGGCUAAAAUCAUUCCUCCCAUUGAAUUUUUCAAUAUCAUAUUUCACCGACAUAUUUGAAGGUUUCAUAGACAUAUUAGUACAAAGCCCCAAGUCGAAACUCAGAGCUCUGAUACCACUUGUUGUGCGGAAGCGUCAAAUAUGAAACCAAUAAGCUAAUACAGUAAAAUAUGACAAGACAAAUAAUCCAAAUAACACAAGGAUUUAUACUGGUUCGGCGUAAGCCUACGUCCAGUUCCGAGACGGCGAGGAAAUUCCACUAAUAUCAAAAGGAGAUUACAAAUAGAGUUUUAACUCUCAAACCCAAAUCCCACAUACACCUAAUAGCUCUCACUAAAACAAAGAACAAAUGGAGAAAAUGGAAACAUAUACCAAAUUCCUUCUCUCACUAAAGCCACAAUAUGUAGCACAAAUAUCUUUAAUUGAGUGAUCACUCACAAAGGGGGAAGGCAUCAACUCUAUUUAAUAUGGGAGAGCCGAAUGCUCUCUCCUCUGCUCACUGAUUAGAGCUGUCAACAAACAACUCCCUUUUUUCUCCUCUACUGCCGCUCCCACUUCACCAAAGGCAUAACAAAAAACAUAUAAUAAACAAAAGGAACAAAACCAUAAUUGCCACAUAUUCUUUGCCUUUGUAAAAGCCACAAAUCAAGGGCUAGACAUCAUAAUGAUGUCCCCCUUUUCCUUAUUCUAUUUUAUUAGCCGAAAGGUAUUUUGGCUUGUUGUCCACUUGGUCACAAAUCCAACAAACAUACCUUUUCAGUCAAAGAUUGGUCAACGGUCGAAAGCGACGGUUUCUCCGCCGUAGGCUCCGCCGAAACCAGCGUAAAUAUGAACAGUCCGUGCCUCGGACCAGAGCAAAACAGCCAGUCAUGAACAUCCCAAAAAACUUCAACUCUGUUUCUGUUCACAUCAACGCAAUCAUUCCCUCUGAACUUCCAAUGAAGACGCUUCACACGAACGGCCUGGAUCCCAUCAAUCUUUAUCUCCAACUCCGGAUCAGACCCAUCUGAGCCGUUGCUGCACUCGAUCAAAAUCUCAUGGAAAUUCUCCUUCUCGUGAAACUUGAUUCGUGUCGAAAACUUCCUCUUCCCGAACAAAUGCUCCCUCAUCGAAACCAAGAUCGGUUCGAUGAGCGACGGCCGGCAGGCAGUUUUUCUGAAUGCGGCUUUCUUCUGAUCACCAACGAGCAAAACCACCUCGUCUUCGCAGACAAUGGCGACGUAGUAGUCCGAUUGUGGCUCCGUUUCGCCGUUGAAUUUCGCGGCUUUGAGGUCCCAGACGACAUCCACGGCGCUGCCGUCCACCGUGAAUUGCUUGGAGCCUUGCUUGCGCCAGAAGUACCACGGCUUGAGCUCGAUUUUGCAUCGACACUCUUCGUCUCUGUUUUGGCCUUGCACCGAAACAGAGAGGCCGUGGAGUAACAGAUUCUUGCACCAGUUGACGGUGAUCAGCCGACACUGGCCGGCUAUCUUCGUGCUGUACACUGACAUGAACAUGCUCUGCCCCGACCUGAUCUCGCCGGCUGGGGUGGGAUGAGUGCCGGCUGAGAAGCAGGGCGGAAUUCCAAUUGAAUCAUGCAUGGUUACUCAACGAAAUGUAUGAAAACCAAUUGAUUUAACUAAUGAAAGAGGAAUGCGUUCGAUUAGCUAAGAUCCUGCACGAAAGAUUUGAAAGAGAGGUUUUCUUGCAGCAUGGCAUCCAAAUGAUUAAAUUCCCAAACUGGCAGACUUAGAGGGAGAGAGAAGCGAGGACGAGAGUAAACAGUUUAUAUUAUGAUAGUACAAGCGAUAGUCUGCGCUAAACUUAAAUCUAUAAGUGUAACGCGUUUACGUUUAAUGUAAACUGUGCGAGCCCUUUUCCAAUCUGUUAUUGGGAUUAUGUUUAUAACAACACCUACUUUAUUUCGUCUUGGAAGUGGUUUGGGUUGGGAGAAUAAGUUUGAUCCCAAUAAAAUCUACCGUUUUCAUGCAUGGAAAAAAGCAAACGAGCUCCUUUUCCAUCACAUAUGGAGUUCAUGUGACAGUGUACCAGAAAUUAAACAACCCAAAAAGGGUAAUGUUAGGGAGGGUAAAGGGGAUUAAUUUGGAUUAAAUAUUAAAUAAUUUGGAUUUACGAUGUGGAUAAAUUAUGAUUCCACGUGGUUUACGUGCUUUAAGCAGAUUUGUCUUUGUUACCAGGUAUUUUUAACUCCUGGAUUGAACUGUAUGGAGUGAGUCGUGUGUGGGGAAGUGAGCAGAUAGCAGGAAUCCUGGGUGGCAGGUGCAGAAAGAUGGGAGGAAUCUGCUGUGCUCCAACUCAGAGUCUCCACAGCUCUCUUAGAUGCUUUGGUGACAAUGAAAUGGUUACUGAACGAGCAGGCUACUGAAUCGACCUUUACCUGUCUCAAGAAUUAAAACUUCAUUUAGACAUACCAACAUAAAGAAAUUCAUGAGCAGGCUACUGAAGCUUCAUUUAUCACAACAUAUAGUCAGUAGGGCAAUUACAAUCGCGCACUCGCGCGCACAACAUAUAGAUACAUCAGAGGUGCUCACUACGUGAGGAAGAAGCACUAAGGAAAGAAUGGUGGUCCACGAGCACUAUCCUUGAGCUUUUGAAAAGAGAGAAAGCGACUUCCUGUUACUUGCAGUUAAAGAAUCUAACAUAUCGCUUUGGUACCUGCACAGCUUUCUCUAUAGCUUUCUGGAAGGUUACCCUAAACUACAGGAGGAGGCAUACAGCAAGAGUACAAAUGCGAAUCAAGUGAGCUGGGCGAAUCCACUGUUGCAUCUGAAGUGAUUGAGAUCAAUUAUCAUCACAGUGAUGUCAUCCAAACUACCCCUACUCGUGGCAAGUCUCACAAGCUCCUUACAAGCAGCCACCAGUCCACCCGAAGAGGUAGGUUGAAUCUUCGUGCUUACUCGCUUUACCACUGAUAUUCUUCUCGACUUUGAUGGAGGCCUUUCAUUUUCAUUCGGAAAUUCAUUCUCGCUAUCUUUCCAGCUAUCUGGAGAUUGAGUCUCUUUUUUGGGUGAUUCCAUCUUUGUGUUUAAUCGCUUUACUAAGGAUAUUCUUCUUGCCUUUGAUGGAGGGCUUUCAUUUUCACUUGCAAGGUCAUUCUCACUACCUUGCCAGCUAUUGACCGCCUUCUUAAAGCCUGGGGAUUGCAUCCCUUUUACUUGCUUAACCAGCGAAAUCCUUCGCAACUUUGAUGAAGGGCUCACACUGACACAGCCAUAGUCAUCGUCAUUCAGAAGAUCUCCUGAGGGUGCCGAUUUCUUCUGAAUUGAACAUAAUCGUUUCACAGUAUCGAUGGCUUCUUGGUUGUCAACCUAGGUAAAACGGUUCAACAUCAGAGUUAGAAAGAACAGACUUUCAUUAUUCUCAGCAGGGAUGUAGACUCAGAUAUCCAUUCAUGCACCAAGAAAGACUUUAACAAUUAGCAGAAAAAGAAAAUGGUAGAUUUAUCUAUGCAAAAUGCAAGUCAAUACAAGCAAUGAGAUAUCAGCAAAAGCAUUAAUGACUGCAUUUCCAGUUUUUACAAUACUUCCAAAUAAUAAGAUAGAUAUUUCAUGCAUGAAGGGUUCCGUUCUUACCUCUCCCCAUAGUCCAUCCGAAGCCAAUACAAGAAAUUCCAUAUCUGGAGUCAGCUGCAGGAUCUUUGUUUCAGGCUCGGCCACCACCCAGUUUUUCAGAUGAGCAUCUCCAAUGCUUCUAGAAACAGAAAGAACCCCGUGAACUCUCCAUGCUCCUCGGUGGAACUCUACAUAACCUCCCUAAUCACAAUACCAACAAUUACCAUCAAAAUAUUUCCAAUAUAUGUCAGUACUAUGUACUUGUGACAAUGAUUAUGUUAAAUACCUCAUGCUCUAUUCUGUUGCGUUCGUCCUCCUGUUCUGCCUUAUGAUCCUUUGUAAGAGCUUCCGCCACUCCACCUCUACAAAGAACUGCCCGGCAAUCUCCCAAGUUUGAAAUAACAACCUCCUGCCCUUCGAUUAAGGCUGUGACACAGCAGGUUCCGCUGCCUAAGCCCUGCAUUCACCCGAAAUCAUCAAUAAACCUUUACUAAUACAGACCAUGUUCUCAGUCAUAACUAACAAUAUUAAUCUCCACAAUUCAGUUGAGCCGAACAACAUUUUCAUGUAUCGAGGGAGGCUAAUAAUCAAUGAAGUUUUCUAAGCAAAUUGGAUGGAAUUCACAUUUUUUUUGCUUCCAAAUGUCACGUUUACACCUCACGCCUCUAACAUGUAAUCAGUCAAGAGAAUUAAGGAUGCAGAGAAACCAGAAUUGCAAUUACCUGUUCCAAGAACUCCUGGUCUGUCUUCAGAUACCCAGCUUUAACUGCCUCUUCAGUUUCCGUAUGCAUUUCCAUCAUUUCGACAAUAUUAUUGUGCAAAUUCUCAGCAACAAAGUCUGCGGCCCUCUUCCCACCAUGCCCGUCAUACACCCCAAAAAACGCCUACAAAUUGAAGAAAAAGAAAUUAAAUUAGAAAAGCCAACAAAGAAAGUACUAAAAAAAAAGGGAUUCCAGCAAACCCCAUAAAUGAUUAGAGCCAAUUUGCUUACUUUCUUUGACUUCUGUCCCUGUAAGCAAGAAACAAUCUUGUGGGUAUCUUCCAUAAACUUCUUCUUGCCUUUGGAGGCGGAGACCCCAACUCCAAUCCCGUUGAAGCAGACGGCGCCGUUCUGAGGGGUGAAAUCCCGGAGCUUCUCGGUUUUAAUUUCUUGCAGGACGUUCGGGAUUGCAAUCAUCGGGGGUCUCUUCCGCUUCAGAGAAGAAGAUGAAGCGGCAACCGCAUCGAGCACGGCGGCGGUAGCGCAUAACGAAUCGGAAUGCGAAACGGGGAGUUCUGAGCUCGCCAUUGUUGUAGAAAACGUAGAGAGAGAGAGAGAGAGAGAGAGAGAGAGGCGCCAACGGCUAGAAAUAAAAUGUGAGAGAAAGUGAUGGGCGAGGACUGAAGUAGUAAUAAAGCAGAGGAUUGGAAGGGGCAGAGAGAAGUUAGGGUUCUGGUGGGGUCAAAACUAGGAGCCGUUAGGAAUGCGGUCAAAACUUUGAAAUAAAUUUGGUUCCAGAAACUUUCCCGGAUAAAUUUAACUGAAAAAAUAACAGAAAUUUCAAGAUUUCAGUUAACGACUAUCUACAGUUGUAAUAACAAUUUUGACUUUUUCAAGCCAAAAAGUUGGAUUUGACCAGUUGGGUUAGGAUUGAUCAAUUCGUCUGUGCUAAUCGACAGAAUUAAAUCGAUUAAUCUAUCAGACCGUUUUGUGUUACAAUGUAACGUCAAUUGGAGCGAAUUCGAUGAUAACGAACUUAUAUAUGGGAUGUUUUUGUAUUAAAAAUGAUUCUUGAUGCGACAUGUAAUACUUUUACGGUCACUUAUUAUAACCAUUAAACUCUUGCUCUAUAAUAUUAGCUAAAUUAUUCGGUCAAGUAUCUUCAAGUUACGUUAGGCCCUUUUGAAUUAGUGAAAAUGGAUUGGAUUAGAGGUUUUAAUAGUAUCGGAAAAUUAAACCAAAAAAUAUUUGUAGAUGUUGGGCAACUUGCCUACGUCCUCUUUGGCGGACUAGGAUCCUCGUCCAUCCAUUAUAUCUGGAUCACCCAAUCUCAACCAUCCGUAAUAGAAUCGUGUGGCUUAAAAUGAACUAUCUUUUCCAUUCAUCUUCCCCCACUCUCCUUUACAAUUACCGAAGCACAUCGACAUCAACCCAAGCCCCUUCCUUAGCGCUAUGAGAAAAUUCUACAAGCGUCCAUCCUCAAAUCAACAGUUGCAGACAACACAACGAAAGCCCUUGCAUCCUUCAUGUAGUUCUCGUGUUGCACGCUCACCUCCACUGAGUUUGCAGUCGCGCAUUUAGGUUUGUUUGCAGCAGUGAUGGUGAUUGCUGUAGAAGAGAGGGGAAGGAGAAUAUGGGUGAUCUGGAAGAUCCGGAUGUAAUGGAUCCGGUGGGAAUCCAAAUCCCUAUUUGGCGAUCCCAUGAGAAAUUUCACUACAAGACAAUACAAAUUUUGUUCAAGAAAAGAACCCCUCCUUUCUCAGUCUAAGGUCAUAAGCUACUUCUCACCCCUUAAAUUAACUCUUUUGGUGCCUCACGUAUGCUUUCUCACAGAGUAAUGCUAGGUAGACUAAAUGAUGUGUCACAAAAAACAAAUAAACAUGUUAAUCAACAUUUAAGUAAUAUCCAAUUGUCAACUUUCAUGUCAUUUGAUUUACAAAAUUUGGUCUCCGGGUGAUGAAGUGAGCUAAGCUCAUGGUCUAAAAUAUCCAUAAUAUCCCGAAAUUUCCAUGUUUUUGGACUACCGAUAUUUCCGAUAUCAUCGAUAUUUUAGAUCUUGCUAAGUCACUCAUGUAUCUUACCAUGCAAUAUAUAAAGUGUAAAAUAUUAUACUAAUUCAUUAUAUAUAAAUGAUUAUGGUGUUUUUAAACUUCUUUCAUUAAUUACUACAUAUUUUCUACACUCACAAUGUUUGCCAGCUUGCUAUAUAAUCAAUUUAAAUCAGUUAUAUCUAUCAUGCAAUGCAUUUCCUUCCAAUUUUUUGUGAUAAACUAAUAGAUAAUUGACUAAAUAAACAUCCUACAAAGUUUCAAUAAAAAUUUUCAAGUUUUUCUUACAAUUUUCGUGGUUUUUAUACAAUUUUUAUCGAUAUCGAUAAUAUUCCGAUAUUUCCAUCGAAAUUUCCGUGUUUUUGAACUACCGAUAUUUCCGAUAUCAUCGAUAUUUAAUACCUAAGCUUCAUAAUGGACUAGCAAUAAUGUGGUUCAAAUUUGCCUCUGGUGAGAAUCGAACCUAAGACUUCUCACUUGCAAGUGAAAAGGAAUAUCACUAAACCGUAAUACUAAGUGUAAGUAAAAAUAAAUAUCACUAGACUGUAGUACUAAGUAACACCUGUAAAAUAAACUUUAGAUUACAAUAGAAAUUCAAAAAGAAAAACAAACAUGUCGCAGUCCGCUUGAGCGUCAGUAGUCCGCAUGAGCGCCUUUCGUGUCUAAUACCGAUUGCCUCCCGACUGUUUUUGUUCUCAAACCCUUUUUAAUCUUCGAUCCCAAUUCCAUCCCAACAUGAUCAGUGUAAGUGGUAUCAUCAAAUUCUAAGCCAGUGUCAUGGAAGCAAUUACCAAAAAGGUUUACUAACAUAAUUGCUGAUGAGACUGCAUGACUACUAUCCAUCGCCAUGUUCAAGGUGGAAGACCAAUGGUCAAGAAAAUUCUGGUAUUCGGUGGCAAGCUCGGUGGAUUAGGGGUCGUAGCAAGGCUUGAGAAAAACCCUAAAAAACCAUCCACCCUAGCCAGUGAAACAAAGAAGGAAGAAAUGAGUGCAAUAACGACUGUUUUGUUGAUAAAAUGAUUUGGGCUAAUCUGAAGGAUGUGCAUGCAUGCAUGCAUGAUAGUAUAUUCAGGUCGGUCAAGAGAAUUCAAGGGCCCUGUGCGAAAGAAAGUCGAAAACCUUGAGUAAAGCUAAAAUCGUAAUUGGAUUUCAAUUGUAGAUCUAUAAAUUGUAAUAGGACAAGGAAUUUUAUAAAAACUACUAGUGGAGCCAUGUAUUAGUUUUUUCCAUUGAUUUUAAAAGAUACAUGUAGACCUGGCAUUUUGGACCCGAUCCGUUAACCCGACCCGACUCGACCCAACCAUUUAAUAUUAGUAUUUGGGUAGAUGCUUAACGGGUCAGGUCACUAACGGAUGAACCCGUUAACAACCCAUUAAAUAACGGGUCGCUUUAGGUCAACCCGCUAAACCCGCUAGCAUCCAUUAGUUGAGGAUGUUUGAGUAAUUUCAGUAAAACCUUAACAAUAAAAAAUAAACUCUUAGCUUUUUCUGAUGAGCACAUUUAUCACCACACUGCACAGAAAAGCUUCUGCAGCAGCAACAGCAAGGUAGCUUCAAUGGCGGCUCCGUUGACCACCCUGGUAAAAACACAUCUCCAAACCUGCUGAGCAAACACCUUUAUUUGCAUUAUACUGUGCUCAUUAGAAAAAACUCAUUCUCUGCGUUUGUUCGUGUUUAUUGCCAAUGUGGCUCGCCAUUGUUGACUCUCUCUUGUAAAUUCUUAUGAAGGCUGGUGUUCCUGACGGAGUGUUCAAUGUCAUAACCAGAUUUGGAAAGAUUGUUGGUGCUGCCAUCAAGUGAAGUUCAUAAUUUCCGUAGUUAAUAUGUGUCAAUGUAUUGGAAUGCAAAAAAAAAACAAAUGUUAACGGGUGAAAAAGGUAACCUAUUAGAUUAACGGAUUGGGUUCGGGUGACCCGUUAGCUUAACGGGUUGGGAUCAGAUUGAACCCGACCCAAACCCGAUAAACCCGACUCGUUUACAAGUCAGGUUCAAACCUUUGUAUCAUUUUUUUUGUGAAAAUUGAUGCAUUUAACAUAUAGAAAAUUGAAAAAAAAAAUGAAAAGAAAUCAGAUAUAAAGUAGCCAAAGACCACCAGCACUAACAAAUCAUGUUUGUUAACUACCUACACAUUUAGGUAUAUAUAUAGAUAGGAAGCUUUUAAGGGCAACUCCAUUGUUGUGGAUAGCCCAAUGAAUCGGGGAGGUUUUCAAUCCAAUUGCCUUCCCUCCUUGCUUCAGCCCAUGCGAGAGAUUAGGUUAGGGGGGAGAGUGAGAGGGUGGGGUCGAAUCGCAGGCCCGAGUGCCUUAGGGCAAGCUAAUGCAAGGCUGACGUCAGGAUAACGUCACCAUAUUAUAAAAUUAAUAAAAAAUGUAAAAAUUUAAUAAAAAAUGUAAACAAUUAAUAAAAAAAUCCGGAAAAAAAAAGAUUUAAUUUUUCUAUAAAUAUCUUAUCAUUAUCUUCCACCUUACACCAUAAUUGUAUAUUUUCUCAAAUACUUUGGGUUGUAAUUUCUUAUUUAAUGAAACGUGUUACAACGAGACCGAUUAAAAAUCAUAUCCGAAAUUUGAAAUAAAAUUAUUUUUAUUAUUUUAUAAAAUAAAAAAUGCUAAUAUUUUAUUGCAUAUUGCCAUGACUAUUCAGCUUAGGAGUGGAGAUGCAAAAGACAAUUACUGUUCAUUAAAGGCAGUUACUGUUCACUGGAGAUGAUUCAAUAGGCAGUUGCCCUGGGGGGCCUUUCCUACACUGGAGCUGCUCUAAGGGAAGAGAUUUCCAUUUUUUUUUAUAAAAAUGAGAAUUAGUUGUGGGGUCCAUACCACAUCGAAUUUUAACAAUCCGAACCGUCUAUUUUUCAAGUUCCAUCUCAUAAAUCAUCAUUUCAAAAUAUUAGCCAAAUUGGAAAUAUUUAAGACAUCUAAUUGGGUUAAAAAAAAUUGACGAAUACUUUGUUAUAUAAGAAACAAUAAAAUUUUAUCUUGAUAAUUAAAUAGACAAAUGGUUUCGGAUUUAAUUGAAUUUUUGUAAAGAUAAUCUAUGAAUCGAGACUUACAAAAUAGACAGUUCAAAUCGUUGAAGUUCGACGUGGAGUGGGCCCACACAUAAUCCUCAUUUUUUGAAAAAAAAUAAUAAUCUCUUUGCAUAAAGAGCCUGUAUAUAGAUAUAUAUACAUGCAAAAAUGAAAAAUCAGGCCCUCGCAAUUUGGGGCCUUGUGUCGUGGCACCUCUUACACCCCCUUAGUGGCAAUUCUAAGUAUAUUAUAUAUACAUAAGCUCUAUCUCCUUUGAAGACUAACAUUUUUGGCAUGUUCCCGAUCUAUUUUUUCUUGUAUCCUCAGUAAGUAAACAUGACCAAUGUACAGUACAUCACAGUGAGGUUGAUCCUUGACUCUGCAUAACUCCAGGUAAUUCUUCCUAUUACUCCUUCAUCUGAUACUCAUACCACUAUUCCAAGUACAAAUACUGGUAUUCAAACUCGGUUGAAGACAUGAGCCAUUACAAGACAAAACUACUCAUCAUUUAUGGCUGCUUUACCUCACUGUGGUGUGUCGCACUACUGGACUAAAUGUCUCUGAGUAGUCUAAGCCUUGUUCUUGACUAUAACCUUGUGCCACCAACCGUGCCUUAUACCUUGCAACUGUCCCAUCAAGAUUUCUUUUGAUCUUAUAUACCCAUUUACUCCCAAUAAUAGUUCUAUUAUCUAGAGGAGGAACUAGUCUCCAAGUUCCUUGAAAUAUCAAUGCAUCAAACUCUUCUUGCAUGGCAUUUGUGGUAUCAGAUCUUUCCAGUUUGGUGAUGGCUGCAAUGAAGGGCAAGGGGGAGGAUUGUUCUCUAUUGGGGAAUAUAAUAAAUGACUUGCGUUUUUUGCUCCAAUUUUUUGUUUGAUUCAGAGGUGAGUUGGGUGCAGCGAGGAUGUAACUUGGCUGCACAUAGGCUUGCACGUAUGGGGCUGGGCAGUACCCAUAAGCUUGGGUGGUUUGAAGACCCCCUCAUUUGCUCAGGGAUAUUUUAUUUGAAGAAAGUUUGUAGGGUUAUGAUUUUAUGUAUUAUCAUUUGAGUAUAGUUCUCUUUGUUCUGCGGGACGCUCUUUUCCCUUCGACCAGAUUGAAAGUCCAGGCAAGGUUUUAUCGAGGCACAUUAUGCAUGCUAUCCUUAAUUUGUACAUGUUUUAUUUUCAGUGCAAUGAAUAACGUACUUUUCCCUCAAAAAAAAAAAAAAAAGUAAACAUGAAUAAUGAUAUAAAUCUGGUAAAUUAUGUUGUCCCAAAAAUACGUACAAUAUAUAGGUAUAUAAAUACUUUUCCCACCGACAACAAAUAUUUUUCCCACAUAAUAGGGAAAUUUUGGGGUACCCUCCAAGCAACCUAAUUCUAUAUAUAAGGGGUGUGGUUCAAUAAGACGGAAAUAUACCUACACCAAUCUCUCUCUCUCUCUCGCUCUCCAUCUCUUUGUUUUGGAACACAAUCGACCUAGGGUUAUCACAAUCUCAUCCUCUUCCUGUCGAUCCCCAACUGGUAAAUUCGUAAUUAUAUACAAUUAUAUGUCAUGAGUCGUCCGCAGGAAGAAAAGCCUUGUUGUCCGCUCUGCGCGGAGGAGAUGGAUUUGACAGAUAAGCAAUUGCACCCGUGCGAGUGCGGUUACGAGAUAUGCCUUUGGUGUUGGCACCAAAUAGUGGACAUGGCCGAGAAGGACGAGAGGGAAGGGCGAUGCCCUGCGUGCCGUGCACCUUACGACAAGGAGAAUAUCGUAGGGUCGACGGGCCCAAGGUUUGAGAGACUGGCGGCUGAACUGAAAAAGAUGAAGAUUGAACUGAAUAAGAUGAAGAUUGACACGGAAGCGCGUCGCCGGAAGCAGCAGCUCAGUGGCGUGCGAGUGGUUCAACGGAACCUUGUUCACAUAGUAGGGUUGCCGCUUGAUCUGGCGGACGAACACCUUUUGCGGCGGAGAAAAUAUUUCGGGCAGUAUGGGAAGGUUGUGAAAGUUUUCAUCCGGCGAUUUACGGACAAUACGAGUAGUAAUGUAUAUAUUACUUACUCGAAAGAGGUGGAAGCGAUUCGUUGUAUUCAAAGAGUCGAUGGCCGGACGUUCCUCUGGUCGGAUGGUAGAGCUUUGAGGGCAUGCUUUGGUAACGAGAAGGUAUUGUCACGCAUGCCUAGAAAGUGUGCCUUGCAACAAUCCUCGUUGUAUGUUUCUGCACGAGGAGGCCAAGUCUCGGAUUCUCAAGACAGUAAUAGUUUAGGGUUUAAUUCUUCCCUAAAGAUGUAAUUAUCAAUUUGUCAUGAUUCCUAAAUUUUAUAUUCAUAUGUAUACGAUACUUUACGUUGGAAAAAUUACAAGUAAAUUAUAAUGUUCUUUUAAAAAGCACUUAGACAAUUAGACUGAGGCGUGUGUAUCUCGUUCUCUUUAAAGAGAUUCAAGCCCACUGCGGUAAUAAAGUCCACAAACCGAUUGACUUGUCCUCUCCAUGAUACAUGCACCAACACUUGAUACUUAGCAUCACAAAAAUAUAAGGUCUUGUUUGAUUAUGUUUUACAAAUUAAACUGUUUUGUGAAACCCCCCCCCCCCCCCCCCCAAAAAAAGAAAUAAAAACAUGCUUUACAUUUUGAAUAUGAGAUGGUAGCCAAUAUUUAAAAAUUAACAAAUUUCGAUGGUAGCAAAUAUCAUGGUGGUGAGCGUGGUGAUAGUGACAAUGGCGUUAGGAGGUUAGAUUCAAUCUUUUGAAAAGAGAAAUUCAAACUCAAGUGUUGAUGAGUGAACACCAAGUCAACUUUGUUAAGUCCAAAUUUGCUAUUUUAAUCUAUAUACCUUUAAGCAAUGUUUGAUUCUUAAACAAUAAUGUUUCAAGAAAAUCUUGUUCAUGAUAAAUUUUGCUUAACUAUAAUUUCAUUCAUCGUCAUUGUUGAUUAACCAAUUCGAAACGUAUUUGUGAUUGAUAUUAUACUUUAACAAUGUAUCAUGUCAAUUAAUUGAUCAAAACACAAGAAAAAUAAGUAGAAAGAUUUUAUCAAUCAAACAAAUUAAAUCUCGUUUUGUCUCCAAAUUAAAUUCAAAAAACAAUUGUUGUUGUUAUUUCGACUUAAAAAAAAAAAAAAAAGUCAUUCACACUUACAACAACAACAACAACAAAGCCUUUUCCCACUAAGUGGGGUCGGCUAUAUGAAUCCUAGAACGCCAUUGCGCUCGGUUUUGUGUCAUGUCCUCCGUUAGAUUCAAGUACUCUAAGCCUUUUCUUAGAGUCUCUUCCAAAGUUUUCCUAGGUCUUCCUCUACCCCUUCGGCCCUGAACCUCUGUCCCGUAGUCACAUCUUCGAACCGGAGCGUCAGUCGGCCUUCUUUGCACAUGUCCAAAUCACCGGAACCGAUUUUCUCUCAUCUUUCCUUCAAUUUCGGCUACUCCUACUUUACCUCGGAUAUCCUCAUUCUCAAUCUUAUCCUUUCUCAUGUGCCCCACACAUCCCACGAAGCAUCCUCAUCUCUGCUACACCCAUUUUGUGUACGUGUUGAUGUUUCACCGCCCAACAUUCUGUGCCAUACAACAUCGCUGGCCUUAUUGCCGUCUUAUAAAAUUUUCCCUUGAGCUUCAGUGGCCUACGACGGUCACACAACAUGUUGGAUGCACUCUUACACUUCAUCCAUCCAGCUCGUAUUCUAUGGUUGAGAUCUCCAUCUAAUUCUCCGUUCUCUUGUAAGAUAGAUCCUAGGUAGCGAAAACGGUCGCUUUUUGUGAUCUUCGCUAAAUUGCUCCGGUCAUUAGUGUGGAUAAGUAUAUAAAUGGAUAGAGAUAGGAAAGCAAACACAAGAUGUACGUGGUUCACCCAGAUUGGCUACGUCCACGGAAUAGAAGAGUUCUCAUUAAUUGUGAAGGGUUUACACAAGUACAUAGGUUCAAGCUCUCCUUUAGUGAGUACAAGUGAAUGAUUUAGUACAAAUGACAUUAGAGUACAAAUGACAUUAGGAAAUAUUGUGGGAGAAUGAUCUCGUAAUCACGAAACUUCUAAGUAUCGGAGUGUGUGGUAUCAUCUUGACUUGCCUUAUCUGUCUCAUAGGUAGAUGUGGCAGCUUCUCUGGAAGUACUCUUCCUCCAUCCAGGGGUGGUAUCUUUAACUGGUGGAGAUGCACAAGGUAAUGUAUCAAUUUCACUUGAAGCUUACUUGUAGUUUCAGGCUUGGUCAAGCGCGAUACAAACCAUGUAGUAGGAGUCCCCCAAGUCGCCGAGCUAGGGGAUUUGCUGAAAGAGGUGACAGACAAGGUAAGCAAUCAGAGCUCCGGCUGAUUGUUCACCUUCUCCCCAUCUUGCAGCAGCAUGAAGGAUAAAGAGAAGAAAAAUGAGAAGAGAUGAUAUGGGAUACUUUUGCUUUUGAAGAACUAACUUUCCACAGGCUUAUUCUUGAACUGAGCUGGAGGGUUUUCUGGUUUCCUCCAGAGUAUAAGGCCGACUGAAGAAUUUGAGGGUCAAAACAAGUCCAUCAAAUCUAGAGUACGUUCGACCCUGCUGAUAUGGGAUACUUUUGCUUUUGGCAGAGUAAUGGAUGGAUCGGCACGUGUGCUGUUACGCUUGUCUCCACAUGCUUCCUUGUAUCCUUCGCACUUGCCCUAUCUGUUCCUCAAGCAGAUGCGGUAUCUUCCCUGGCAACAUAAGAUGUUGAAGAUGAGUACUCGAGAGCAAUGCCAGGUAAGUAAUCAGGUAAGGGGUUCCAGGCUGUCAGUUCCUGGCUGGGAGCUUGAUUUCAAGUGCUGACUGAUUGCUCUCUUUCUCCUUGUCUUGCAGGUAAAAACAAGGCCAAAGGAAAAGACAGGGAAAAAGCAUGAUAUGGGAUACUCUUGCUUUUAACCCUGAUGAUAUGAGAUAUUCUUGCUCUAGUAUAGCUUGUUUGCAGAGGUAUUAUCGGGGGGAAAGAAAGCUGAAUAUUUCGAAAGGCUUCGUUGGGAGUGCCCUCUCAGAUAUGAGGAAGGGUUGAGCAUUUUUGCAGGUCUGCCUGUCCGUUGGGGAUGGAGGUCGACAUAUAUAGGAGUCUCCCUAACAACAAGUAGUAAUGCUAUUCCUUUACCCUGCUUGGUCAUAGCACGGUAGUGGGAGCUGCCAGCUUCACAUGUUUUAACUCUGUCAGAGCACUUUGAAAAAAGUGGUAUGUGGUAUCUGGCUCUCGAGAUUCGGAGAACGAUGCUUCUUCGAUUUUUGAGAAAGCAAUCAUGGUGGGGGUCUGGCUCUCGAGAUUCGGGGAGCAGUGUCUCUUCGAUUUUUGAGAAAGUAAUCAUGUUGGGAGUCUGGCUCUCGAGAUUCGGAAGGCGGUGCCUCUUCGAUUUUGGAGUAAGCAAUCUUGUUGGGAGUGUUUUCUCGGAUGUGAGUAAAAUGUUGGGCAUGUUUGCUAGUCUACCUUGCCACGAAGCACGGAGGUUGACACACAGGGACUUUCCAAUUAUCCAGCAGUGGUACUGUUCCUUUACCCUUGUGGGUAAUAAUAUGGUAGCUAGACCUUCAAAAUUUAUGUGUCUAAACUUUGUUAGUGCUGUUUCUUUGCUAUUCUUUUACCUUUCUUGGUCAGAGCAAUGUAGUGGGAGCUGCAAGCUUCACGUGCUCAACUUUGGCAGAGACUUUGACAAAGUUAUCUGUGGUACCCAUGAGCUAUUGUUGCGUGUGGGAAGUGGGUGAUUGAACAGUAAGAUUCAUGUGCUUUCUACUUCACCAGAAGUCUUCGACAGAAUGCCCAUAAUUUCCGCAAAGCUGAGUGUGCGUGUGACAGGUGCUGACAAGGCUAGAAAAGAAGGUGCCUCUUCGAUUUUCUAAGAUCGGCCCUCGUGGUCUCUGAGCAGCCCAGCUUUUGAGAAAGCGAGCGCCUCUUCGAUUGAUUCGGAGAACGAUGCCUCUUCGAUUUUUUGAGAAAGCAAUCAUGCUGGGGGUCUGGCUCUCGAGAUUCGGGGAGCAGUGUCUCUUCGAUUUUUGAGAAAGUAAUCAUGUUGGGAGUCUGGCUCUCGAGAUUCGGAGGGCGGUGCCUCUUCGAUUUUGGAGCAAGCAAUCUUGUUGGGAGUGUUUUCUCGAAUGUGAGUAAAGGUUGGGCAUGUUUGCUAGUCUACCUUGCCACGAAGCACAGAGGUUGACACACAGGGACUUUCCAAUUAUCCAGCAAUGGUACUGUUCCUUUACCCUCUCUUCGAUUUUUGAGAAAGUAGUCAUGUUGGGAGUCUGGCUCUCGAGAUUCGGAGGACGGUGCCUCUUCGAUUUUGGAGCAAGCAAUCUUAUUGGGAGUGUUUUCUCGAAUGUGAGUAAAGGUUGGACAUGUUUGCUAGUCUACCUUGCCACGAGGCACAGAGGUUGACACACAGGGACUUUCCAAUUAUCCAACAGUGGUACUGUUCCUUUACCCUUGUGGGUAAUAAUAUGGUAGCUAGACCUUCAAAAUUUAUGGGUCUAAACUUUGUUAGUGCUGUUUCUUUGCUAUUCUUUUACCCUUUUUGGUCAGAGCGAUGUAGUGGGAGCUGCAAGCUUCACGUGCUCAACUUUGGCAGAGAACUUUGGCAAAGUUCUCUGUGGUACCCAUGAGCUAUUGCUGCGUGUGGGAAGUGGGUGAUUGGACAGUAAGAUUCAUGUGUUUUCUACUUCCCCAGAAGUCUUCGACAGAAUACCCAUAAUUUCCGCAAAGCUGAGUGUGCGUGUGACAGGUGCUGACAAGGCUGGAAAAGUAGGUGCCUCUUCGAUUUCUGAGAUCGGCCCUCGUGGUCUCUGAGGAGCCCAGAGCAGCCCAGCUUUUGAGAAAGCAAACGCCUCUUCGAUUUCUGAGCAGGCACCUCUUCGAUUUCUGAGCAGGCGCCUCUUCGAUGUCUGAAGCUCCGUCGAGUGCAGCUUUUUAUAGGGGCUGGCAUUAAGUUCCAAAGCACACUUGAAUCUCCACCAGUAGAAGCUCCAUUCUUGCACUUCUAAGAUCUUGAUUUGUCCGACCUCUUCUCUCUUCAAUACCUUUGAAAAUGUCUGGCCCCUCCGACCGUCGUUUUGACUUGAACCUUGUUGAAGAGGCAGCCCCGCCUUCUCCAGACAACAUAUGGCGCCCAUCCUUCGUCUCCCCUACUGGUCCUCUUACCGUUGGGGAUUCCGUGAUGAAGAAUGAUAUGACCGCUGCGUGUGGUGGCCAGGAACCUUCUCACUCCCAAAGAUAACAGACUACUUUCCAAACGGUCUGAUGAGUUAGCUGUUAAGGAUUCACUGGCUCUCAGUGUUCAGUGUGCAGGUUCUGUGUCUAAUAUGGCCCAACGCCUAUUUGCUCGAACCCGCCAAGUUGAAUCAUUGGCGGCCGAAGUGAUGAGUCUCAAACAGGAGAUUAGAGGGCUCAAGCAUGAGAAUAAACAGUUGCACCGGCUCGCACAUGACUAUGCUACAAACAUGAAGAGGAAGCUUGACCAGAUGAAGGAAACUGAUGGUCAGGUUUUACUUGAUCAUCAGAGAUUUGUGGGUUUGUUCCAAAGGCAUUUAUUGCCUUCGUCUUCUGGGGCUGUACCGCGUAAUGAAGCUCCAAAUGAUCAACCUCUGAUGCCUCCUCCUUCUAGGGUUCUGUCCAGUACUGAGGCUCCGAAUGAUCCCCCUCCGAUGCCUUCUCUUUCUGGGGCUCUACCGACUGCUGAGACUUCUCCUAAGCAACCUUUGUGAAGGCUCCAUCUUGUUUUUGUUUUUUUGACUCAUGUAUAUGUACAUAUUUGUAGCUUAUCGGGGAUAUCAAUAAAUAAGUUUUCCUUCAUUUCAACGUAUUGUGUUAAAUACACCAAAGCCUUCUUCGCUAAGUUCUUUGAAUUUUCUUUUGUUGAAGCUUGUAUGUUGAAGCUUUCUGAGUGGAGCAUGUAGGUUGGGGUAGUGUUCCCUUAAUUUUUCGAGUGAGGAAAACUUCUCGGUUGGAGACUUGGAAAAUCCAAGUCACUGAGUGGGAUCGGCUAUAUGAAUCUUAGAACGCCAUUGUGCUCGGUCCUGUGUCAUGUCCUUCGUUAGAUCCAAGUACUCUAAGUCUUUUCUUAGAGUCUCUUCCAAAGUUUUCCUAGGUCUUCCUCUACCCCUUCGGCCCUGAACCUCUGUCCCAUAGUCGCAUCUUCUAAUCGGAGCGUCAGUAGGCCUUCUUUGCACAUGUCCAAACCACCGUAACCGAUUUUCUCUCAUCUUUCCUUCAAUUUCGGCUACUCCUACUUUACCCCGGAUAUCCUCAUUCCUAAUCUUAUCCUUUCUCGUGUGCCCACACAUCCAACGAAGCAUCCUCAUCUCCGCUACACCCAUUUUGUGUACGUGUUGAUGCUUCACCGCCCAACAUUCUGUGCCAUACAGCAUCGCCGGCCUUAUUGCCGUCCUAUAAAAUUUUCCCUUGAGCUUCAGUGGCAUACGGCGGUCACACAACACGCCAGAUGCACUCUUCCACUUCAUCCAUCCAGCUUGUAUUAUAUGGUUGAGAUCUCCAUCUAAUUCUCCAUUCUUUUGCAAUAUAGAUCCUAGGUAACGAAAACGGUCGCUCUUUGGUAUUUCUUGAUCUCCGAUCCUCACCCCUAACUCGUUUUGGCCUCCAUCUGCACUGAACUUACACUCCAUAUAUUCUGUCUUUGAUCGGCUUAGGCGAAGACCUUUAGAUUCCAACACUUCUCUCCAAAGGUUAAGCUUUGCAUUUACCCCUUCCUGAGUUUCAUCUAUCAACACUAUAUCGUCUGCGAAAAGCAUACACCAAGGAAUAUCAUCUUGAAUAUGUCCUGUUAACUCAUCCAUUACCAACGCAAAAAGGUAAGGACUUAAGGAUGAGCCUUGAUGUAAUCCUACAGUUAUGGGAAAGCUUUCGGUUUGUCCUUCAUGAGUUCUUACGGCAGUCUUUGCUCCUUCAUACAUAUCCUUUAUAGCUUGGAUAUAUGCUAUUCGUACUCCUUUCUUCUCUAAGAUCCUCCAAAGAAUGUCUCUUGGGACCCUAUCAUACGCUUUUUCCAAAUCUAUAAAGACCAUGUGUAAAUCCUUUUUCCCAUCUCUAUAUCUUUCCAUCAAUCUUCGUAAGAGAUAGAUUGCCUCCAUGGUUGAGCGCCCUGGCAUGAACCCGAAUUGGUUGUCCGAAACCCGUGUCUCUUGCCUCAAUCUAUGCUCAAUGACUCUCUCCCAGAGCUUCAUUGUAUGACUCAUUAACUUAAUACCCCUAUAGUUCAUGCAAUUUUGUACGUCGCCCUUAUUCUUGUAGAUAGGCACCAAAGUGCUCGUUCGCCACUCAUUUGGCAUCUUCUUCGUUUUCAAAAUCCUAUUGAAAAGGUCAGUGAGCCAUGUUAUACCUGUCUCUCCCAAAACUUUCCACACUUCGAUUGGUAUAUCGUCUGGGCCUAUUGCUUUUCUAUGCUUCAUCUUCUUCAAAGCUACAACCACUUCUUCCUUCCGGAUUCGACGAUAAAAAGAGUAGUUUCUACACUCUUCUGAGUUACUCAACUCCCCUAAAGAAGCACUCCUUUCAUGUCCUUCAUUGAAAAGAUUAUGAAAAUAACCUCUCCAUCUGUCUUUAACCGCGUUCUCUGUAGCAAGAACCUUUCCAUCCUCAUCCUUGAUGCACCUCACUUGGUUUAGGUCCCUUGUCUUCUUUUCCCUUGCUCUAGCUAGUUUAUAGAUAUCCAACUCUCCUUCUUUGGUAUCUAGUCGUUUAUACAUAUCGUCGUAAGCCGCUAACUUAGCUUCUCUGACCGCUUUCUUCGCCUCUUGCUUCGCUUUUCUAUACCUUUCACCAUUUUCAUCGGUCCUCUCCUUGUAUAAGGCUUUACAACAUUCCUUCUUAACCUUCACCUUUGUUUGUACCUCCUCAUUCCACCACCAAGAUUCCUUUUGGUGUGGGGCAAAGCCCUUGGACUCUCCUAAUACCUCUUUUGCUACUUUUCGGAUACAACUAGCCAUGGAAUCCCACAUUUGGCUAGCUUCCCCCUCUCUAUCCCACACACAUUGGGUGAUUACCUUCUCUUUGAAAAUUGCUUGUUUUUCUUCUUUUAGAUUCCACCAUCUAGUCCUUGGGCACUUCCAAGUCUUGUUCUUUUGUCUCCCUCUUUUGAUAUGUACAUCCAUCACCAACAAGCGAUGUUGAUUAGCCACGCUCUCUCCUGGUAUAACUUUGCAAUCCUUACAAGUUAUACGAUCCCCUUUCCUCAUUAGAAGAAAAUCUAUUUGUGUUUUUGACGACCCACUCUUGUAGGUGAUCACAUGUUCUUCUCUCUUCUUAAAGAAGGUGUUGGCUAAAAAGAGAUCAUAUGCCAUUGCAAAAUCCAAGAUAGCUUCCCCAUCCUUGUUUCUCUCCCCAAAACCAUGGCCACCAUGAAAACCUCCAUAGUUGCCUGUCUCCCUGCCCACGUGUCCAUUUAGAUCUCCUCCUAUAAAUAACUUCUCCGUCUGAGCAAUUCCUUGCACCAAGUCUCCAAGGUCUUCCCAAAAUUUCUCCUUCGAACUCGUAUCCAACCCUACUUGAGGUGCGUACGCACUAAUCACAUUGAUAAGUUCUUGUCCUAUUACAAUCUUGAUUGCCAUGAUUCUAUCUCCUACCCUCUUGACAUCUACAACAUCUUGUGUCAAGGUCUUGUCCACGAUGAUGCCAACACCGUUUCUCGUUCUAUUUGUGCCCGAAUACCAAAGUUUAAACCCUGAGUUUUCUAGAUCCUUUGCCUUACUACCAACCCACUUAGUUUCUUGUAGGCACAUAAUAUUUAUCCUUCUCCUCACCAUAACUUCCACUACUUCCAUAGAUUUUCCCGUUAAGGUUCCUAUAUUCCACGUUCCUAAACGCAUUUUGCUCUCUUGAACUCUACCCUUCUGUCUUAGCUUCUUCACCCUCCCCCGUCUAAUAGGAUCAAAGUACUUCUUUUGUGUGUCCCGUGUAAAGUUGAUAGGAGCAUAUGCUCCCAAACAACUUUGAGUGGAGUCGUUCGAAAAGAAGUUUCUACGGCCCCCUUGCUCAUUUAACACUGCAUCCGGGUGCCGAUGGAGAUACAGCGACCCUUGCUCACUUAUCACUGUGCUCGGGCCACACAGCGCGCCACUUACGGGUGACGCCCUAGCUUUAGCGCGAUUUUGUUCUGGAUUCAUUUUCAUAAGGAUUCGACGUGAUCAUGGAGUGCCGGCUGUCGACUACCUGACGCCCUCCCCCUCCUCCUUUAUCCGGGCUUGGGACCGGCAAUGUAAAAUUACAUAGGCGGAGUUCAUUCACACUUAAAAUAAAUAAAUAAAUAAAUAACCAAUGAAAAAGGGAAAUUUUUGGCGCCCAAACGACGUCGGACAACUGAAAUGGCAUUCGGUAAUUUCAGUGAUUUGUACUUCUGUCGGUUAGUCCUUCUAAGCUCAGCCUGCAACAGAAAAUCAGUUAGCAUUUCAUCGGCAGAUUGACUUUUACCUCCGUUCGCUCACUCUGACUCGCUCGACUCAACUCACCACCACAACCUUCCCCCCCCCCCUCCGCCUCCAAAUGCUUCUUCUCUCUGCAACCACCCACCAGCACCCGUCAAUUUCCACUUCUACCCUCCUCUUUCCCUCUAUUUCCCACAAACUCCCCGCCUCCCUCAAACCCAACGCCACCUCCACUCCCCGACCCCAUGACCUCCUCACCAUCAACGCCUUCUCCCCCUCCUCCCUCCAAAACCCCAACCCUAGCUCCCCCCAGACCAUCCGCCACGUCACUCACUCCGCCUCCGAUGGCGACCCCGAUUCCAAUUCCAUGGUCUCCUCCGCCUCCGCCGUCGCCUCCGCCAUCCGCAGAGCCUCCACUUCGCCCGUCGACUUCAUGCAGAGGAUCGAGAAGGACCAGAAGGGCGGCAUCGUGCUCCCCAGCCCCGACUUUCAAAGACUCUGCAUUCAGCAGUUGGACCUCUUUCGCCGAACCGUCGACCCCGGUGCUCUCCUCUCGGUCAGUUUAGGCAAAUUAAUAUCUUACUCUCUAUUAAUCACAUUGCUAAUUUUGUUUGUGUAUGAUUAAUUAUGGAUUACAUUUGUGUACGUUCAUGUAUGUAUAGUAUAUGAAUAUGUAUAAUUUUGGAUUCAUACGUAUAUAUGUGUGUAUGUGUAGGUGUAUGUACGACCAGCUGGUAGUUAUGUGAUGGACCGAUUAGAGCUGCGUAGGGUAAUUUGCCAUCCGGGAGUGAAGGCAUCAGACAUUGUGAUAUUAGUCGGAAGUUUUAGUGUUGCUGCUGGUUUUCGCGCCGCAGAGGCCGUGCUCUCCAAUCACAAAGUAGAUACUGAAUUUGAAGUAUUAGUGUGUAGUUUUAGUUGUGGGUUGAUAUAUUGUGACUGGAUAUAUUCCGUUGGGAAUUGAAUUUGUAGGUGGAAGUUGUAGCUGAGUGUAAAGCUGUGGUUUUUCCGAUGGUGAAGCACCCCUUUGUGGUAGGCUUCUUGGUUGCUGAACUUCCCGGGAUGGAAAUGCCUCCGCCACCCGGGAGUGUUCAGGGUGAGGGUCGUGAUUUGGUUUGCCGCCCGACUCCCGAGGAAGCCUAUGCUUUGCCUCCAAGCUCCAAUGUCAAAUCUUGGGGUACUCCUCGCAGUCUGGAUGAUCAUGCCGAACCAUCAUUAAGAGUUUACAAGUUUAGUGCUGAGCAGAUAUCAAAUGCAAUCAACAUUUCUCGGUCUAUAGCUUUGGCGUAUGUUAUGGAUCAGGUACUAACAGUGAAAUAAUAAUACUAAUUUUUACUUAUGAUGUGUGGCGGCUAUGACUAUAUUUCUGUCUUUUAAAGUCCAUUCGUCUUAGUUACUGAUAAAAAAAAUGCAUACUUCUGCAGAAGGCAAUGCUACUCCAGCAGUCAUCAUGGCAGAAUAAUGUAAGGAUGGGUAGUCUGGUUGAACAAGUAAGACAACUGUUAUUGCAUUUGUGAUUUGGCUCUGCAUUUUCUUAAUAUGGAAGUGAUUAUUUUUUUAUUUUCCUCACGCUAUGUAUUCUUCCAGAUACGUGGUCCUCUUUCUAGCCUUCGAACCUUAAGUAAAAUGUUAUCCAUGCAUAUGAAGAGGAGUGAGGUUUGUCUUUGUAUAUGACCUUUUUUAUAAUUUUUGUCUUACAUAUAUUCAUUUUAUGUCCUGUAUUUACACUGGAAUGGUGUGCUUAUGUAGAUUUCUUAUGACAUUGUUGAAAAUAUACGGGUGCAAGGCGAUCAUAUGAAAGAUACCCUUCAGCAACUCCAGGAUGCUGUUUACUUGACCAAGGCACUUAGUCUCUCUCCCUCUCUCUCUCUCUGACACGUUUUAACCAUACACAUUCUGUUGUCAUUGAGGCUUCUUGUACUGUCUUCAAGGAGUCAAUCUGUUUAUCAGCAGUUUCCUAGUCAUUUUUGGCAAUCUGUUCCCAUUGUCGUAUGUCCUUUCAAAAUUUUCUGAGAUAUGCAUGCUCAAGAUAUUUUUCAGUCAUAACUGUACUGUGUAGUUGGAACUUACAAAUUUUCUCUGAUACUUAAAAAAUUUGAAGUUCUGUCUAUAUUAUUAUUGCUAUGGGUCAGACACACUGACCUUUCCAUCUGAUUUUUCUAGGCUAAUAUCAUGCGCUCUGGUGAACAUGAUUCAACAUAUUCCUAUCCUGACUCAGCGAGGUCUCGGUUAAUGAAUAACCUUCCAAGGGAUAGUUCCAGCAUUAAGAUGCAAGUUCCAAGCGAACAACAUUCUCUAAAUGCCACAGCCAAAGAUACGGAGAUGCCCAUGCCACCCCUAGCCCUUGCUCCUUUACAGCAAAAUGGGAUUAGGUAGGCUACAAAUUCUGAGAUCAUCAGUUCAGAUUCCAAAGAAUAUGGAAAAGAAAAACAAAAUUGAGUAUAUCACUAUUGUUUUCACUAGUGCAUAGAGCUGGAUACUUGAAAUUAACUCCCCUCUUAUAACAUAGAACAUAUCAUUUUGCUAAUGCUUGUCAAUUAUGUCAGGAAGACCAUGCAAUGUUUCUGAUAUACUCGUAGAUUUGGUUGAAGCUGUACGACCUCUUGCUAAAAACCAGGAGCGUGUGGUAGAACUGAAUGAACUUGGAAACUCUUUGCAAGUUGCUGUAGAAGAACCUGCUUUGCGACAGGCUCUGAGCAAUUUAAUCGAGAGUGCAUUACUGCGUACGCACAGUGGGGGAAAGGUAGAAAUUGUGUCUACUGGAGCACCAGCAGGUGGUGCUCUUGUGGUAAUUGAUGACGAUGGGCCUGAUAUGCACUAUAUGGUAAUAGUUGCAGACUUUGAACUCUACUAACUUGAUCUUCUAUAAACAAUUAGAGAUUUAACUUUUCUGUUAUUAGUCGAUUGUAACUCACCAUCACUGCAUACAGUUUGUCAUGGAUUAACUUUAGCGUUGGAUUAUUUGUCUUCAGACACAAAUGCAUUCUCUCACUCCUUUUGGAGCCGAUCUCUUCUCAGAAAAUAUGGUUGAAGACAACAUGACCUGGAACUUUGUGGCCGGACUGACAGUUGCUCGUGAGAUCCUCGAAAGUUAUGGCUGUGUUGUCCGUGUCAUAUCACCCCGAAUCACAGAUGCUGAACUUGGAGCAGGUGGAACUCGAGUAGAACUGUGGCUGCCUUCUCUCAUGGAAAUGUCCGAUAUUGAUGACCCUGCUCAGGAGGCGUAGCAAGAAUUGAAGCUUUCAUCGGUAAGAUUGUUCAAAGAUCAGAGAAUUAAUCCUGCCUCUAUCUGAUGAUUUGCGAGAAAGAGGUGGUAGAAUUCGGAAAUUGUUUCCUUGAUGAUGCGUCUAAACCUAAGACUUGCAAUUUGGUGGAAGUUCUGUAUAGUUUCCCCCGUUCCACACCAUGCAUACUCUUGUACAUAAAAUAAGGCGCUAUCGGAAGCCGCAUGCGUAUAUGCACCAAGUGUGGUUUCCUGUUUGAAGAUUCAUCAGUCGUAUGUAAAAGUUGUCCGUAAAGCUUACAAACUUAUAAGAGUAUAAAACACCUUGCAAACUUGAUUUCUUGGGUAUGUUAGAUUUCAUGUGGCCCUCCCUUGUUUUUGGGCCCUGCUUUGUUUUGUGCCUUUUGGGCUUUUACAAAAAUUAUACUGUCCAAAACUAGGGGAAUAAAACAACAACAACAAAGUCUUUUUUCCACUAAGUGUGGUCGGUUAUAUGAUUGAAUAUUCUAAGAUUUCAUGAACUUAUUCAUGACAAAAGAUGUAACCAAACAAGAGUUGAAAAACCAACAAGACCCGACCCCCACCUUGGUGCACGCUGCUCAACAUCUUAGCACGUCAAAGCCAUACUCAUCGCUCGGGUUUGGGAGAUUUGGUUUGUUGCUUUUUUUAUGUCGAAAUUAUAAUAAUUCAAGUUUGUCACUAACUUGGUUCUUCCACUACCCCCACGAAUCACGAGCAAGAACGAAACUACAAAAAACUUACUUUAAAAGAGAAUCUCGCCUCAAAAGGAAUUAAAUUCAACUCCGAGCGAUAAAAAAGGGUUGUGACGAUACAAGAAAAUACCCCCCCCACGACACCUGAAACAUUGUGCCGUUUAGGCGAGUCUUGGUGUUCCCAAGGCAGAAUGUUUUUUAAAUCAAUCAUUUUUAAUAAUCAAAGUGGAUUUUAAAAAAUCACUUCAUAAACGCAUUCAGUCAUUUUAAAAGUAUUUUCACAUGAGCUCUUAACCAUAGUCUUACCCUCGUGUUUCCUAAUAACUAUCUUGGGAUUGGCUUUAACGCAUUUUGGUGUACUAAUUUCAUUCCUAAAACAACUCAAAUAUUAUUUGUGAAAGGGUAUAGGCAACGAUGUCACGAUCAUAUAGUUGGCCACUCAAAUUCCCCCUUUCCUUCUCUCAAUUUUAAUGAAUAAGACCUCUCAGAACAUCGUUUUUGACGCAUUAAUUAAUAUUUAUCUACUUUGCAAGCAAGAGCAUAGCACUCUAUUUUCCACAUUAACUUUGUUUAUAUCCACACAAUUAAUAGUUCCAAACCGGAACAUCUUUUGGCAUCAGCGAUUGCCCAAAGUUUGAUGACGACUCUGCAUGCUUAUACGACAUGUCGGUCCGACAAUCUGGCCAAUCGAUUUGGGAACAUGCACUUGUGUGUCCCACCUACUUAGAAUUAGGGCACCACGUGGAAGCACCACAAUGGUUCGAGAUUAUGUGGCCCUUCCGGACUGGCCAACUGCCCACUGUCCACUCAACGUUAAUAUGCGGGCAGCGGUGGACGUACAGCUCCUAUUAUUGAAUUCGAAUUUUUGUUGGAUUUUCUUUGUGAGGAUUUCGACGAUUUGUGAAAUUAUUUUAAAUAUUUUUAUUUUAAAUUAAAUAUAAAUAAUAUAUAACAAAAACUGAUCGUACAAUAUAUAAUGAACGAAUAUGGUUUACAAAUCUCUAGAAUUCUCAUCAAAAGGAUUAGGAGAGAAUUCUCUUGGCCUAUUAUUGGCCGGGUCAAACUUCAGUUUAGGGUCAACCCAAAGGAUGGUCAGUGAUUGCUUCCUACGCGUCGUUGAAUCUUCUCUACCGUCCGAUGAACGUUAGUGCUAGAAUAGUCAAUGAUUUAGCCAGCCUCAUAAAAAUCGCCUUUGUCAAGUGUAUCUUCGAAAGAAUGUAUUAGUUGUUGUCUUAUGAAUCGGUUUAUAAAAAUUUAAAAGAAAAAUAAUUUCUCAUUAUGAAUGCCAUUGGGGGAAAAGAAAAGGAAGAAACAAAAUGCUUAUUUUUAUCUUUUGUGGAACGUCACAAUAAGUCCGUUUUGUCUAAAAAAUAGUAGACUUUUGUUUGUUCAAAAUAAAAAUAAAAAUAAACAUAUAUAUAUAUAUAUAAAGACUUUUUGGUCAACAAAAAGAUUGUAGUUAAGUUAAUUACGAACGUCAUUUAGUAUUACGGUUUGAUGAUAUUGUUCUUUAUUGAUAAGUGAUAGGUCUUAGAUUCGAAUCUCGUGGAUGACAAAUUCGAUGUCAAAUUAGGUUGCUCAUUGUAUAGCUUAACUAAACUCCCCUUCCUUUGGUGUAAAAAUAUAUCGUUGUGCUGAAAAAAAAAUAAUUACAAACAUUCACAACUGCAAUCAGAUAAUUUGUUGUUGCAUCCUUCUGAUGGUAUUAAAUGCUAAAUAUUCAGCAUGGACAUCAUAAAUUUUGGUAUGGCCUCAAAAUAAGCAUCUUUAAGUUAGAUAUUGUGCAAAAUUUAUUAAGUUAGAUAUUGUUUUUAGGCUUUUAUCCAAAAUAGUUACUGUGAUUGACAUAACUCAUCACUUUGGUUAUUGAGAUUGUGCACGGUUAAUCAUUUUGGUGAUUCUACAAAAAAUCUCCGUUAAAUUGAGGGUAUUUUUGUCAAAUUAACUCAUCUCCUUGAACUAGUGGUUUCUUCAAUUUAAUAGAGAUUUUUCACAAAAGAAUUUAAAUGAUUGACGGUGGACAAUCUCAGGACCACUUUUAUCAAUUUUAAAUCUCAUGAACCAAAGUAAGGAGUUAUGAUAAUUAGGGACCAUUUUGGUUAAAGCCUUGUUUUUAUUAUUUUCUUUAAUUACUUUGGAUUUUACUAACACAUUACUUUUUGUUACAAAAAAAAUUUGUAAUAAGUUUCACCCCAAAAGAAAUUGUACAACAUUCUGUUACAAUUUUGUACAAAAAUUUACGUUUAAAAGCUUUUUUAAAAUAAUUUGUAUAGAAAAAUUUCUAUCAAAUUAUGCAAAAAAAGAAAAAAAAGUGUAUAUAAGUCACGUCUCCUGUUUUUCCUUAUAAAAUUGUAGUAAUAUAUUUUAGGAAAACUAAUGAAAAGGGCUUGAAAACUUUGAGUUUUAAUGAUAAGGACAAAAUAAAGAGUAAAGUGAAUAGUACCAGGAUUGACUUUUUAGUGUAAAAAUGUGGUUUUUCGUUAAAGUGAACAGUACCGGUGCUUUUCGUUAAAAUUCCCAUAUAUUUUAUUUGGCCGACUUCAAUGAUACAAGGGCACUUGGUAAUUGACUUCGACAUCCUUCCCACAAAUUUCUCCGUAAAUCCCAAAAAUGAAACAAGGAACCAAUAAAACCAGCAUUAAGCCAAAAAGAAAAGGUUUAUGUGGUUUGAAGAACCCUUGACUUGCUUAGGUAUAUUUUGUUUGAAGAUAUUUUGUAAAUUGUCGAUGUAUUGUCAUUUGAGGAUAAGUUUUUUUGUUUGUGCGGAACAUUCUUUUCAUUCGAUUGGGUUGAGAGUUCCGGCAAGAUACUAUCUUCAGUUUGUACGUGUUUUGAUUUGUUUUCAAUGAAUACCGUGCAUUCCAUAAAAAUAAAAAUUAAAAAAAAAAUCGAAAAGCAAAAGCACUAAAAAACUGUUACAUUUUUUCUAAUGGAAAUCCAAUAUAAUAAUAGAAAGAACAUAAGUGGCUUACCUAUUAAGGACGCAGGAGUCUGAUCAUGGUCAAAAUUCUAAUUAAAGUUGUUGGAAUAUAAAUUGGUUACUAAUCCUAUUAAUUAGUAUUUUAAUUAAAUUGUUUUACUGAGAUCUCCACGCAAAUAAUAACUCGUUUGAAAAUACUAUGAACGGGUGCAAGUCAAUUUUAAAAAAACAUUUUAUUUCAUUAUACAAAAAUCACAUAAUUAAUGAUUUUUACAAAAAACAAAACACUUUAUAUGAUCUUAAAAUUUUAAAAUAUUUCAUUUAAAAAUACUUUCGAUUAGUUUUUAAAGCACUUACAAACAAAAAAACCGAAAAAUAAUAAUAUAUAUAUAUAUAACCCCUUUCUUCUCACUUCUCCUUGUGUUUCCCUCCCGAGUCUAGACGAAGUCAUCCUCCUCCAUCACGUCCACCGGCCCUCAAAUCAAAUCACUUCCGAAUCGUUACGGCCGAAGUACCUGCAGCCAACCGCCGAAAUACACGUGAACCUCAAAACCUCGGAAAUAUCAGGAAUUAUAGUAUUCUUGCCGUUAAACUGCUUUUUGAUUUUUUAAAUCUUUUCUCUCACGCUAUUUGAACCCCGAGAUCACACCCGAGCUCGGCAAAAGCUUGGAUUCGCAGAAAGUGCUUUUCCGCGUGAUUCCCAGCUCCUGAACGGCUUUUCCCUCCAGCAGAUCUUGCUCAGGGCUAUAUGAGGUCGGUUAUUUUUUCUCUCGAUUCACUCGUUUCGUUUUCUGUUUGGUUACCGAGAAAAUUAGGUAGAGUUCUGCUCGGCUCGAUUAAGUUAUUAUCUAGCUUCGAAUAUCAUUUUUCAUUUUUGUUUGAAUUUUUAUUUGGCUUCGCUAUUUACGAAGUUGCUAGAUCCUUGUACUGCUUGCCUGCGAUUUCGUUCGUGGAAUUUAACGUUUUGAUUUUUGCAGUUAAUAGGGAUGUUUGAUCGGGAAAUGUUUAAUCACAUGAGCUAACUUAGUAAUUGGAUUUAUGUUUUUUAUUUUUUCCUGGUCGUUUUGUUCGUUGUCUUUGAAAUUAAGCAAGAACAGCUGUUAUUAUGUCUUAAUUUAAGGUAGUGGGGAAGAAGUGGUCUUUGUUACUUAGCGUUUAAUUCAAAGGGAGCACGUGGAGCAUUUGAAUGAAUGGGUGUUUGAUUUUGUGACUUUGUGUUAGCUGCUCGUUGUCAAAUGGAGCACAUGAUCGCUUCGUUCUCCGUAUGUAGACGGGGAUCGAGGAACGGGCACAUGACUUCUUGCUUGUUGCUUCUUUAUAUUGUGUUUGAAGAAUCCUGCUUGGUGGGUUAGGGUAUAAGUAUGCGGUUUCUGCUGUUAAAUGGUCAAUGUAGUCUGUGAAUUCGAUUUGAAAUGCAGCGGAAAGUGAGAUGUUGUUAUUGAGAGAGAUAAAGCGUUUCCAUCAUACAACAGCUUUGGUUUGUGAGUUUCAAGUGCUACCCAACUAUUAAUAUGGUUGGUUCAUCUAUUUACAAAACAUGUUCGGGUCAUUUUCGUAGUUGUAUAUUCUUGUAUUACUGAGUCAUAGAGUCUUGAUUGAAUUCCUGAAGUAGUGUGCUCAAGCUUAUUUUCCUGUGUAUACGAUAAACUAGGUUUUGUGUUCCUUCAUGAGGGUUGUCGUUUCUUUUAAAGGAAUUCGCAACUGAAAACCUGUUAAAUAAUGCAGAUCAGCUAUCGCUUUGCAGUUCAUUUUUCCGUGAUUGUAUCAUCAGAAGCUUGUAAAUAACAUGGGAAUUCUUUCGCGCAGGUUAAAUUUUGUUACAGUCUAUUUCCAUCGGAACAAGUCAACUUUUGUUACUCUUUAAGUUUAUUAUGGAGAUCUGAUCAGCGCUGAUUACGUUUGCAUGUUGUUGGCUGCAGUGCAGGUGGUAAAAAACCAAAUGAGAACAUGAGGCUUAUUGUGACAACUUUUGUAGGUUUAGCUUUUGGAUUCUUGAGGUGUAUCCUUUCCAACAUUGUCACUAACAAAGGUACACAAAUUUUUUGGGUAUCUGUUACACUCCUUUCGGUUGCUUACCUAGAUGACGAAACAUAUUUAAUGUGUGUGCAAUUUUGUGACAGCUGAAUCUCUCAUCCAGCCUUCUUCCAACUGUUGAUCUUUCGUACACUGAGGACAAGAAAUCAGACAUCUCCAGCCAAUCACUUCCAAGUUCUUGGCCUUCUGAAACGAGUAAAAAUAGCUCAAGUCAAGAUCAGAGUUUGAAUGGCAAAUCGAGGGUAUACCUUCUCUCCCUGACAUUAGCAGUAGUACAAGUUCGGAAAUGACUGGUUUUACAUCAGUAUGAAAGUUUUUAUGUAUUGAGGAGUGUAUUGAAUCCUGGCUACUUGUAAUACAAAUGUCGAACCAGGUCUAUAGUUGCAAAAAAUCUGAGUGUCCUUUCCGAUAUAGUUGACAGCUUCUUGUUCUACCAUGUGAAUCCUCAUUAUAUAGGCAUUACUUAUCGGAUUAACGCUUACAUUCCCUGCAGAUUUGGGUACCAUCAAAUCCUAGAGGUGCAGAAAUGCUACCACCAGGAAUUGUUGCAGCUGAGUCAGACUUCUACUUGCGCAGAUUAUGGGGCAAGCCUAGUGAGGUGUGUAUUAUAUUGUUUCUUAUACAAGCAAAAUAGUUUUAGACUCUCCGCAAUGCCGAGAAUGGUCCAGUGGAAACUGAAGAUAAUGCAGAAUAAUUACAGUUUCUUGGAUAUCUUGAAUUAAUGUCUAUGGGAUGAUGAAAUAUUGGUAUAUGGCUGUUACAAAGUGGAAUCUUCUGUGUUACGCAUGUGAUUUGUCUAGGAAUUCAUAUCAAAGAAAAUAGUCACUUUAGUAUAUGUAUUCGUUGUUGGGAGCAGCCUCUCCAUAAAUGGGGGUAAGGCUAGCCGACAUUCACCUCUCCCAGACCUUGCGUAAAGCGGGAGCCUUGUGCAUUGGGUACGACCUUUUAGUAUAUGUAUUCGUUGCCUAAUUUAAAGUCUGUCAUCUGUAAAGUUUAGGUUGAAAGCAUAAAAAGAAAACAGUUGAAUAACAUGACUAGAAUUUGGUUUUUUUUUUAGUUUAUUGAAUUCUCUCUAGUCCGAGUGAGGCUGCAAAGUUAAAUCCUUUGUUUUCGGCGGCACACAAUACCUCUGAUUUCAAUGUUUCGUUAGUCAAAGUGCAAGUCUUUUGAUUAAGCUGACAAUUGCAGGACUUGACCAUCAAACCAAGGUACCUUGUGACAUUCACUGUGGGUUUGAAUCAGAAAAAGAAUAUUGAUGCAGCAGUGAAAAAGGUUUCCAUCUCUCUCUCUCUCUCUCUCUCGCUUUCCCUCUCUCUGGUGGAUGUGUGUGACUAAAUAUAUUUCUCACAGUUUUCAGAGAACUUUACAAUUCUCCUUUUUCAUUACGAUGGCCAAACAACUGAGUGGGAUGACUUAGAGUGGUCUAAGCGUGCUAUACAUAUUAGUGCUCGUAAGCAGACUAAAUGGUAUGAACAAUUGUCAACUCCUAUUUUUACUUCAAUAAUGAAUAGUUUCUCUGGUUUUUAACUUUUAAGUUUUUUGUCAAAGGUGGUAUGCCAAGCGGUUUUUGCAUCCUGACAUUGUGGCGCCAUACGACUACAUAUUUAUCUGGGAUGAAGACCUGGGAGUAGAGCAUUUUAAUGCAGAAGUGUGAGUUUCAUUACGAAGUAAUUCUUUUAGGUUGAGCUUGUUAGUCUACUAAAUUAAUCUCUUAUGCCUUCCUUUUCAAUCCAACUUCAGAUACCUAAGACUAGUGAAGAAGCAUGGUUUGGAGAUUUCACAGCCUGGUUUGGAACCCAACAAAGGUUUAACAUGGCAGAUGACAAAGAGGAGGGGCGAUCGUGAAGUUCACAAGUAAAAUCAUGGAACCUGUACUGAAAUUUAUUUAUUUGUUUCGGGUUUAGUUUAUGAACUAUGAAGUAAUCCUGUAAUCCUUGUCUUGAAUUGUUCCAGACAAACAGAGGAAAAACCGGGCUGGUGCACUGACCCACUUCUGCCUCCAUGUGCAGCGUAAGACAUUAAGAAAUUGUAGAGGACAUUUUAGUGCUGUUGUUUGUCUCCCCUUUUAUCUGACAUUUGUGUUUAAUAAAUUUUUCUUGAUUCAGCUUUAUUGAAAUCAUGGCUCCAGUAUUCUCGAAGUGCCUGGCGCUGUGUGUGGCAUAUGAUUCAGGUAUUAAGCCGAUGUCUUUUCCAUUAUCACCACUUUAUAGCACUUGAUUAAAUUAGCCGUCUUGUUACUUAAUUCUGUGAUUGCUACACUUGGGUGUUUGCAGAAUGACUUGGUCCACGGCUGGGGUCUUGAUUUUGCCCUGAGAAAAUGUGUAGAGGUUGGUGACCCACUUCCUAACCUCCUUGAUGUUUCUGUUCUGUUCUUUAUUUCGUAAUCUGCAGAUGGCCGGAUUUGUAUGGAACUCCUAAUUAAACACAUUUUUUCUUUGCAAACAGCCUGCGCAUGAGAAGAUCGGCGUUGUAGAUUCUCAGUGGAUCGUUCAUCAAACGGUUCCUUCAUUGGGGAGCCAGGUAAUUAUCACUUUUUAGCAGCUGUCAUCAUCUCGUUUCCUUAAUAAACAUAUUUUAGAUAUUGGUACGAAAAGCUUAGGUUUUUUUUCCUGCUUUCUGUAGGGUGAAUCGCAAAAUGGAAAGGCGCCAUGGCAAGGGGUAUGCAAGAACACUUAUUCCAACGAGCCAUUGUUUCACAUUUUUAUCUUAUAAACAGCAACUACUCACACAAAAGUAUCUUAUAAACAACAAAAACGCGCAAAUUUUUUUAAUUAAGUUUGCUGAUAUCGCUAUUGUCUAUACUGAUUCCAGGUAAGGGAAAGGUGUAGAAAGGAAUGGACGAUGUUUCAGAUGCGGGUAGCAAAUGCAGAAAAUGCGUAUUUUAAGGCUAUCGGUGUAGAUCCUUCAAAUUCGACAGCCCAUUAGGGCAAACAGCAGCGAUGACAGAGGUACUGUACUCAAAUCUACGAGUCAGGACCACCAUCUUGAUUAGAGUUGUGUAAAAUCCGUUAUAAUUUGUGAUAUUCAUUAAUUGACCAAAUCGCAGAGUUCGGGCCUUGAGUAAAAACGCCAGCGUCGAUUAAAUCAUCCUUUAGAAUUUCAGUGUUUUAGUGACAACUCGUUUGAAUCGGUGUAACAUAUUCUUACUAGGAUUCAUAUCAUUACUCCUGUAUCAGAUAUUGUGCUUGUUGAACAUAUACCAGAGACUAAUAAAUCGGAAUUUUGAAGAGGCGAUCGAUUUUGCCAUUGCCGGAAGCACAUGAAUCUCUUGUUUCACCUGGUUUUAUGUUUCUUAAAACGAUGUGAACAACUUUGUACGUAUCAUCGUAUCACGGUCGUGUGAAAAGUGCAGGAAAAAUUCUUAGGAGAUUACGAGUCACACUUUUCAGAUGGAAGAUUACUUGAAUUUUUGAUAAGGAAUCAUUGAAUAACUGCCCUGGAUAGAGCUUACCUCCGGCACCUGGCUUUCUCUGGUGCAUGCUACCUUAGCUGCGGUUAAUGCCCGUCCCAGUUUUAUUAUCUCGACUCUAUAUCACGUGAGAAGAGCGAUACAGAAGGAGAUAGGGAACGAAGAUGGAAAUGUUUUUCCCGACUUGGUCACUUUCAAAAACUUGGGAUUUCAUAUUCACUUGCAGGGCUGGGUUUAAUUGGCAAACCGUGCCAAAUCCUUUGUGCCACCAGCCAGUCACAUAUACAUAAUUAUCGAAAAGUAGUUACCACUAGUCAACCGUCAUCUUGUGGUUGCCAAAAAUUGGUUCAGCCAAAACUAUUGGCUGGUUUGGUCGGUAAAUCGCACAACCGAUGGUCUACAAUAUCAACAACCUUUUUAAUUCUAACCAAGUGAUCCCAGACAAAUGAACGACCAGGUUUGGGUCUCCUGUUAUUCACAUGAUCCACUUCGUCUUUGCUAUCUUCCAGUUCCACAGGUUCAACUUGAUUUCCAGAUUGGGGUGCUUCUACCAUUACAUUUUGUGGUUCAUUUUGGGUUAAUCUAUGUUGAACAUUAGCGGUUCAUUUUGGGUUAAUCAAAUAUAUGUAUGUGUACUUAUAGUAUCAGUAAUCAUCAUGCCAUCAAUUUUGUUAACAAUAUUACUAUAUUUAUCAUGACAUGAAUCAUAUAUAUAAUAUUUAUCAACAUACAUAUUUGAAAAGCAAUAAUUUUUAAACAAGAACAUAAAACAUAACCUUAAACCCUAAUUUUUAAACAACAACAUAAACCCUAACUUCAAUGUUUAUCAAUAUACAUGGAUGUUAUUUAUGAUUAUACAUGGAGAAAGAAUAUUUGAAUACUUCAACCCUCUCAUCCAUAGAGAUUUGAUUUUGAUAAUAUUUCUUGGUACUUCGAUCCAAAAUACGUUACAAAUAUUUAUCUAAAUCUAAAAUCCGAUGUAGAAGAAGAAGAUUUUUGCAAUCUGUAUGGCAGGGCUGUCAGCUGGUGCUAUGACAAGGAGGUGUUGGUUCAUUGAAGAGAUGAAGAAAAUUGAGAAAGCAAGGCUGCUAGAAGCCGUGCAAGAGUAGAAAAAACAUUGAAGAGUCCUUUAUUUUCAAAAGGCUUUUUAGCCAAAAUGUUCCCUGAGAUUUGUAAAACAUUGAAAUUAAUUGAAAUUCCCCUAGGCUGGUGAGUAAGUACUCUAAAACAACAACAACAUAUUGCCACAUUGUUUGGACCCAAAAUUACGCUAUCGGCCCGAGUAAUCGAGGCCGUUGAAUGAACAGAAUUUUAGACCGUUGAAUGACAAAGUGGUUGAAAUGAUUUUCAAUUAUUAUUGAGAAAUAAUGUUGUGAUUUUAAUCAUGAUAUUAUCUCGUAGUAAUAUGUUAAAUUAUUUAACCCAAAUAUUUGUCUGGCUUUUGGUGGUGAUGUGAUAAGCUUAGGAUUUGUUGGUGAUGGAGUUAUGAUGAGGUAAGAAGCCUAGAUAGGCUAGACUUUUGAUUAUGAGUUUGAAAAGUCAAGAUGGGCUUUUAUCUUGUUUGGAAAGCUAGUCAUUUGGAUGAAAGGUUUCAGACUUGAUGAACAUGGAAAUAGUGACGUGAUGCAGUAGGAGGUUUACCAUGCAUGAAGAGAUAAAAGAUUAUGAUGGUGGGACCGAAUAUCCUUGGUAGGAUGCCAAUAAUUUUAGGCAGAUGGCAACACCUGUAAGACUUGGAGAUAAAAUAACAGUAUAUCAAGUUGUUACAAAUGAACACGUGGCUUCAGUUUGCAUGAAAUGGUACGACUAAAGCAUGGGAUUUUGCCUGCGUAAUGUAAAUUGCUUUAUGAGUUUAAAAAGCGAUUGGAUUCUGCAACAAGUGUCCAACAAGUGUCAGCCACCAAAGGCAGUAUAGUAGUACUAUAAAUACAAGGCGGCGUGCACCAUUCGAAGCCUCCCCAACUCAACACACAUAUUGCCCUGCGCAAACUCUCGCUCUACACGAAACCUCUCAACAACCUUGAGAUUUUUUUUUUUUUUCGCCAACACAUCUUUAGUGUGGUUAAACAUCACUAUGAAGGCAACGGCAAACAUCUUCAGUUUGGAUAAACAGAACUGUUGCCGUAGAGUCAGCCGACCGCGAAGCACCUUCAAUUUAGAUAAACAGCACUGCAACAAAGUCGACUGGUUAUCUAUCCAAGUCUCGGUCGAGAAGGAUUUUCGAAUCCUUAUUGGCGGAGGUCAUCUCAUCAGCAUUCUCGACGAAGUGAGGUGUUACCAGGUUACUACAUUCGACACCCUGAGAGCCGAAUUUGAUAUUGAACUUUGUAGAACUAGCAGCCUUGUCUUCAGGCUCUAGAACUCAAAGGCCGAGACAUGUUCCUUCCUCGGCCCCAGUUGCGAGAUUUAGAAGUCAGCAGCGCGCCCAGCGCAACAUCAAGAAAUUUUACUCACCGUCCGAGCUCGACCGUCGAGUUGGCACGCCCCGCACACAACCGAAUGGCGUAGUUAACUUAUUCAUUACUCGGCAUGCGCGCUACGUAGGCUUGGUAGUUUUUAGGGUCAACAUUUUGGCACGCCCAGUGGGACACAGUGCUAAACCUACAAAGUUCACAUGAGAUAUCAAGAUCUCAAUCAGGAUGAGAUUUGGCACUUAUUCAAGGAAAUUGUCAAGCAACAAAAACUUCUUGACUGGAUCGUUGAAGCGAAUGAAGGAAGGCAAAAAUCUUUCUCUCAAAUGAUAAAGGUGAAGGUUCAUCACAACUUACAAGAUUAAUGGUUAAAUGAAGAUAGAGCUCGAUUUUACGAGUGGCUCGAUAAGAAAACGUCAUUUGGGUUCAAAUCAAUUCCAUUUGAAGAAUGGUUAGAUCAAAAGGCCGGGGGGCAAUUUUUCAUUCCGGCCACAACCAACAUUCGGCCUAAGAAGAUUCUCGAGACGGCCAAAGAAGAACCUAGGCCACUUGUUGGUUCGGUCAAUUGUGGGCCUAGAAGAAAAAGUUCAAGUUUAUGAGCCACAAAUUAAUUUAGAAAAUGAUUCGUCAGAUGAGUGUUCCAAUGAUGAACAGGACCAAGACAUGGUCUUAGACGCCGAAACUACGCCAAUCGAUAUGAUUAUUGGCGAUAAAGCCGAUAUGGAGAAAUCCCAUUCAGCUACGUUGUUCGAGUUAAAAGUCGAUAUUAACGGAGUAAUUAUGCCUGGGGGGCAUAAUAAUUGUUCAACACAUUCAGCAGCCGAAAAUGAAAAAUAUUUCGCCCAGUCAAAAAUAUUUGGAGAAAAUUCUUUAUUCGGCCUAGAGCGAAAUCAAUUUGAAAAUUUUGUUAUUACAAGAUCUCGACUUGGAAUAAAGCAUCGUUGGCCUCCUCCUGAUUAUGGUUCGACCACUCUCCUUUUCGUUUGCUAAUAUAUAUAUAUAUAAUGAAUAAAUUAUUUUUUUAAACAUACAGCUAUGCAAGCCGAUGCAAAGAAAAUGGGGGGCAGACAUUUUGUAUGUUUGCUCUUAAUAAGCUCCUCGGUGAAAUUUAAGCGGUGAUGGCUUGAUACUUUUCUUGACUUCAGCCUAAUGGUUUGUCUCGGCCCCGCAAUGUGCAAUACUGAUCCUUGGUGCAAUGUGCAAUACUAAAAAAAAGGAAAAAAGAAAAGAAAAAAAAGGCGAUAAGCCGGCCUUUCAGGUCGAUGCAUAAGAUAAUAAGAUAAGGAUUCGGCCGAAAUCGGCGGUUAAGAUUAUGUGAUGCGUUGCAUUGGCAUUAAUAUAUAUAUAUAUAUAUAUAUAUAUAUAUAUAUAUAUAUAUGACCGACAGAUCACAUCAGGUAAUCAGGUUUAUAUAUAUGGUCGACAGAUCACAUCAGGCAAUCAGGUUUAUAUAUAUAACAGAGCCCCAGGAACGGCUUUUAUUGACCUCGACCCCAAUUACUCUUGGCCUCGGCCCCGCUUUACAACAUUGGCAAAACAUAGGUGAUUUUAAAGCCGAGGAACAUUCCCGAGCUUGGCGAGGUAUUAUUGCCGAGUGCUGGUCCUCGACCAUGAGGUCAUUCGGUCUGCCAUGUAUAUAUGUAUACAGAGAUGUUGUCGAGGAACAAAGUUUUUUUCCGGUGAUACAGGAUUUUGCUGGCUACAAACAAUUAAUUUCCUUAACCAUUCAGCUUUCGGGCCAAAACUCAAGGAAAUUGAGGGGCAAUGUAUGGACCCAAAAUUACGCUAUCGGCCCGAGUAAUUGAGGCCGUUGAAUGAACAUAAUUUUAGACCGUUGAAUGAUAAAGUGGUUGAAAUGAUUUUCAAUUAUUAUUGAGAAAUAAUGUUGUGAUUUUAAUCAUGAUAUUAUCUCGUAGUAAUAUGUUAAAUUAUUUAAACCUAAUAUUUGUCUGGCUUUUGGUGGUGAUGUGAUAAGCCUAGGAUUUGUUGGUGAUGGAGUUAUGAUGAGGUAAGAAGCCUAGAUAGGCUAGAUUUUUUAUUAUGAGUUUGAAAAGUCAAGAUGGGCUUUUAUCUUGUUUGGAAAGCUAGUCAUUUGGAUGAAAGGUUUCAGACUUUAGAUGAACAUGGAAAUAGUGACGUGAUGCAGGAGAAGGCUUACCAUGCAUGAAAAGAUUAAAGAUUAUGAUGGUGGGACCGAAUAUCCUUGGUAGAAUGCCAAUAAUUUUAGUCAGAUGGCAACACCUGUAAGACUUGAAGAUAAAAUCGCAGUAUAUCAGGUUGCUACAAAUGAACACGUGGCUUCAGUUUGCAUGAGAUGGUACGACUAAAGCAUGGGCUUUGGCCUGCGUAAUGUAAAUUGCUUUUUAAGUUUGACAAGCGAUUGGAUUCUGCAACAAGUGUCCAAUAAGUGUCAGCCACCAAAGGCAGUAUAGCAGUACUAUAAAUACAAGGCAGCGUGCACCAUUCGAAGCCUUCCCAACUCAACACACAUACUGCCAUGCGCAAACUCUCGCUCUAUGCGAAACAUCUCAACAACCUUGAGAUUUUUAUUUUCUUUUUUGCCAACACAUCUUCACUUUGGAUAAACAGCACUGUGAAGGCAACCGGUGAACAUCUUCAGUUUGAAUAAACAGCACUGUUGCCGUAGAAUCAGCCGACCGUGAAGCACCUUCAUUUUGGAUAAACAGCACUGCGACUGAUUAUCUAUCCAAGUCUCUGUCGAGAAAGAUUUUCGAAUCCUUAUUGGCAGAGGUCAUCUCAUCAGCCUUCUCGACGAAGUGAUGUGUUACGAGGUUACUACAUUCGGCACCCUGAGAGCGGAAUUUGAUAUUAAACUCCGCAGAACUAGCAGCUUUGUCUUCAAGUUCUAGAACCCGAAGGUCAAGACAUGUUUCUUUUUUGGCCUCAGUCGCGAGAUUUAGAAGUUAACAGCGCACCCAACGUAACAUCAACAAAUUUUACUCACCGACCGAGCUCGGCCGUCGAGUUGGCACGCCCCGCACACAACCGGAAGACGUAGUUAGCUUAUUAAUUACUCGGCCUGUGCGCCACGUAGACUUGGUAGUUUUUAGAGUCAACAUUUUGGCACACCCAAUGGGACACAGUGCUAAAACUACGAAGUUAUAAGAUAUCAAGAUCUCAUUCAGGAUGAGAUUUGGCGCUUAUUCAAGGAAAUUGUCGAGCAACAAAAACUUUUUGACCAGAUCGUUGAAGCGAAUGAAGAAAGGCAAAAAAUCUUUCUCUCAAAUUAUAAAGGUGAAGGUUUAACACAGCUUACAAGAUCAAUGGUUAAAUGAAGAUAGAGCUCGAUUUUAUGAGUGGCUCGAUAAGAAAACGUCAUUUGGGUUCAAAUCAAUUCCAUUUGAAGAAUGAUUGGAUCAAAAGGCCGGGGGGCAAUUAUUCGCUCCGGCGACAACCAACAUUUGGCCUAAGAGAUUAUCCAGACGGCUGAAGAAGAACCUAGGCCACUUGUUGGUUCGGUCGAGACUGAAAUUGUGGGCCUAUAAGAAAACGUUCAAGUUUAUGAGCCACAAAUUAACUUAGAAAAUGAUUUGUCAGAUAAGUGUUCCAAUAAUGAACAGGGCCAAGACAUAGUCUUAGACGUCAAAACUACGCCAAUUGAUAUAAUUAUUGGCGAUAAAGGUGAUAUGGAGAAAUCCCAUUCAACUACGUUGUUCGAGUUAAAAGCCGAUAUUAACGGAGUAAUUAUGCUUGGGGGGCAUAAUAAUUGUUCAACACAUUCGGCAGCCAAAAAUGAAAAAUAUUUCGCCCAGUCAAAAAUAUUUGGAGAAAAUUCUUUAUUUGGUCUAGAGCGAAAUCAAUUUGAAAAUUUUGUUAUUACAAGAUCUCAACUUGGAAUAAAGUAUCGUUGGCUUCUUCCUGAUUAUAGUUCGGCCACUCUCCUUUUCGUUUGCUAAAAAAAUAUAUAUAUAAUGAAUAAAUUAUUUUCUUAAACAUACUGUUAUGCAAGCCAAUGUAAAGAAAAUGGGGGGCAGACAUUUUGUAAGCUUGCUCUCAAUAAGCUCCUCGAUGAAAUUUAAGCGGUGAGGGCUUGAUACUUUUCUUGACUUCGGCCUAAUGGUUUGUCUUGGCCCCGCAGUGUGCAAUAUUGAUGCUUGGUGCAGUGUGCAAUACUAAAAAAAAAAAGAAAAACAAAAAAAAAAGGGCGAUGAGUCGGCCUUUAGGUCGAUGCAUAAGAUAAUAAGAUAAGGAUUCGACCGAAAUCGGCGGUUGAGAUUAUGUGUUGCGUUGCAUUAGGAUUAAUAUAUAUAUAUGUCCGACAUAUUACAUCAGGCAAUCAGGUGUGUGUGUAUAUAUAUAUAUGUAUGUAUAUAGGGUCAACAGAGCCCCAUGAACGGUUUUUAUUGACCUCAACCCCAAUUACUUUCGGCCUCGGCCCUGCUUUACAACAUUGGCAGAACAUAGGUGAUUUUAAGGCCAAUGAACAUUCCCGAGCUCGGCGAGGUAUUAUUACCGAGUGCUGGUCCUCGACCAUUAGGUCAUUCGGCCUGCCAUGUGUAUAUACAUAUAUAUAUAUAAUAUAAAUUUCUAUGGCCAUUCAGCCUAGAGUACUGGUGCUCGACCAUGGGGUCAUUCGGCUUGCCAUAUAUAUAUAUAUAUAUAUAUAUAUAUAUAUAUAUAUAUAUAUAUAUAUAUAUAUACACACACACACACAAAGAUGUUGUUGCCGAGGAACAAAGUUUUUUUUUCCGGCGAUACGGGAUUUUUGCUGGCUACAAACAAUUAAUUUCCUUAACCAUUCGGCUUUCGGGCCGAAGCUCAAGGAAAUUGGGGGGCAAUGUUUGGACCUAAAAUUACGCUAUCGGCCCGAGUAAUCGAGGCCGUUCAAUGAACAUAAUCUUAGACUGUUGAAUGACAAAGUGGUUGAAUGAUUUUCAAUUAUUAUUGAGAAAUAAUGUUGUGAUUUUAAUCAUGAUAUUAUCUCGUAGUAAUAUGUUAAAUUAUUUAAACCUAAUAUUUGUAUGACUUUUGGUGGUGAUGUGAUAAGCCUAGGAUUUGUUGGUGAUGGAGUUAUGAUGAGGUAAAAAGCCUAGAUAGGCUAGACUUUUGAUUAUGAGUUUGAAAAGUUAUGAUGGGCUUUUAUCUUGUUUGGAAAGCUAGUCAUUUGGAUAAAAGGUUUUAGACUUUAGAUGAACAUGGAAAUAGUGAAGUGAUGCAAGAGGUUUACCAUGCAUGAAGAGAUAAAAGAUUAUGAUGGUGGGAUCGAAUAUCCUUGGCAGGUUGCCAAGAAUUUUUAGUCAGAUGGCAACAUCUGCAAAACUUAGAGAUAAAAUCGCAAUAUAUCAGGUUGCUACAAAUAAACACGUGGCUUCAGUUUACAUGAGAUGGUACGACUAAAGCAUGGGCUUUGGCCUGCGUAAUGUAAAUUGCUUUAUGAGUUUGAAAAACGAUUGGAUUAUGCAACAAGUGUUUAACAAGUGUUAGCCACCAAAGCCAGUAUAGCAGUACUAUAAAUACAAGGCGGUGUGCACCAUUCAAAGCCUCCCAAACUCAACACAUAAACUGCCCUAUGCAAACUCUCGCUUUACGCGAAACCUCUCUACAACCUUGAGAUUUUUAUUUUCUUUUUCGCCAACACAUCUUCAAUUUGGAUAAACAACACUGUGAAGGCAAUCAGUAAACAUCUUCAGUUUGGAUAAACAUCAUUGUUGUCGUAGAAUCAGCCGACCGCGAAGCACCUUCAGUUUGGCUAAACAGCACUACGACGAUGCAGACUGGUUAUCUAUCAAAGUCUCGGUCGAGAAGGAUUUUCGAAUCCUUAUUGGCAGAGGUCAUCUCAUUAGCCUUCUCGACGAAGUGAGGUGUUACCAGGUUACUACAUUCGGCACCCUGAGAGCCGAAUUUGAUAUUGAACUUUGCAGAACUAGCAGCCUUGUCUUCAGACUCUAAAAUCCGAAGGCCGAUACAUGUUCCUUCCUCGACCGCAAUCGCGAGAUUUAGAAGUCAGCAGCGCGCCCAACGCAACAUCAACAAAUAUUACUCACCGGCCAAGCUCGACCAUCGAGUUAGCACGCCUCGCACACAACCGAAGGAUGUAGUUAGCUUAUUAAUUACUCGGCCUGCGCGGCAUAUAGGCUUGGUAGUUUUUAGGGUCAACACACAUGCAUGUCAAUACAUACACAUACCUAAUCUAUGGCUCUAUAUAGACUCACACCUCUCCAAUGUUUAGGGGUGAGUAAUCUCUCUACAUUAACUCAACUUGUCAGCUCACUCCUACUUGGUAAAGAUAUCAUACCAAACUCAACACUUAGCCACACGUAUAAACUAAAGGCUUCCCACCUCCACACCCUAAUUAUUAGCUUCUAUUUAUUACCAACUUCCACCUUAACCUAUCUAGAGUGGUGACUAACCCCUCAUCUUUAUUAUGUAAUGGUUGGCAAAACUCUACUUAGCCUUUGUGAGAAAAUAAAGCCAAACUCAUGCACUUAGACACAUGCACAUAUGCCACAUAGACUUCCACUCCACAUUUAGAGUGGUGAGUAAUCACCAAAUCAUUAACUCCUAAUGUCACAAAGUCUCCACCUUAUCUGUGAGAGAAAAUAACAAAACAAAACAACUCAUUUAGUCCAACCUCAAACUCUCGGCCCCUUGUGAGGAAAAUCAAACCAAACUCAUUUAAUCUCCCUUCUCCAAUUCAAACUAAAAAUAUCUCUAAUUACAUAUGAACAUGAAAUAGCUAGUUUUUGAAAUAAUUUGUAGGAAAAAGGAUUUUACAUUGAAACUAUUUUACAUCCCGAAAACAGGUUGUUGCAUAAGAAUAAAUCAAAUAAAAUCAUUACGUAAAAAUAAUUACCCAACAUACACCCAUAUAUAUAUAACCAUUUUUUUUAAAUACAGGGUAUUACAGAAAUCGAGUGAUUCAAAAACAAAAAUCAUACUUCUCGAUGAUAUGAAGAGAAUGGUGCCUUUCUCGACAGCUAAAUCGCCGUUGUUUGGUUGGAAAAUAGCUUGAAAGUGGUUAUCUAGGUCUCGAGUUAGCUAUUUUGGAGCCAUUUUCCGGCCAAACCAUGGCGAAUUAGCCUUCAAAAAAGGUACAUUUUUCUUCGUCACGUCGAGAAGUAUGAUUUUCUUUUUUGAAUCACUUGAUUUCGCUGAGUAUUGAAGAAGUUAUGAAUGUUUAAAGUUUACCCAGUUUCCCGCGAGUUUUCCAGUUUUCCUGCGGACCAGUCACCUUUCAGGAUAUUUUCCGUCAUCUCUAAAAACCAUUGGGCUUCCAAAUAGGUAUAAUCUUAUUCUACACUUUCCUAUCUUCAUUUGGAUAUAUUAUGGGUUGAAUUUGGUUAAGAAACGAUUGAGUUACGAAUCAUUGAAAAUUGCCCAAACUUCCGGCCAAGAGCUCUGGGACACUUAACAGAGUUUUUAACGGAAGGACCAAAAUAAUGGAUGGUGGACAAUCUCAGGGACCAUUUAUAUUGAUUUUCAAUCUCAGGGACCAAAAUGAUGUGUUAUGCAAAUCUCAGGAACCAUUUUGGUUAAAAAGCCUUUUCUAAAUCCUAAAACUAAGGAGUCAUUUAUUUUUCAAGCCUAAAGAGUCAUGUAUGUAAAAAAAAAAACCUUAAAUGUCUAUAUAUAUUGGUCUAUAUGGUAUACUACCGAUAUUUAAAAUCCAAUACCAAAGCCAUACCUUUAAUAGUCAGUUCGGUAUAAUGCCAACUGAUUAUAAAAAAAUGCCAAAACUCUACCAUACCAUUAUGAACCAACCGAUACGGUUCGGUUGGUAAGUCGGUUUGUGGUAAAAUUUCCCACCCCUAUUCACUUGGCCCGUUUGGUGGGCUAGAUGGAUUUGAAGAAUAUGAUUGAAUUGGUAGGGACAUGUAAGACAAAUUUGUAACCCAUACAAUUAUAGAUUAGAUAUGUUGAAAUAUCCCACAUCGACCAUAUCAAUGAGAAAAAAGAGUUUAAAUAUCACAACCCACUCCAACUAAUACCGAGACCUUUUAUGAUAAAACUCCACACUUGACGGAUUGUGCAUGUGGUAAUCACCAAGUUGGGGACAAUAUCGGUGUUGUUGGAAGUGAGUUGUAUGGUCCAUCUCUUUGAUAACUCUACAUGGUAUCAGAGCAGGGAACAAGCCCGUACUGUACUGCCAUGUGAUGGGUGAGUCCUUUUGGCUCCACGUGGUUGUGGUUGUCGAUGUGUGGAUCUCACGUGUGACCCACUAAUUGGGUCCCACGUGAGAUGACGUGUUGAAAUGUCCCACAUCGACCGUAUCAAUGAGAAAAGAAGAGUUUAAAUAUCGUAACCCUACUCCAACUAAUACCUAGGCCUUUUUGUGAUAAAACUCCACACCUAACGGAUUGUGCAGAUGGUAAUUGUCAAGUUGAGGACAAUAUCAAUGUUGUUGAAAGUGGGCCGUAUGGCCCGUCUCUCUAAUAAUUCUACAAGAUAACCCACUUCAUUAUGGAUUCAUAACUCAUCAUAUCCAGUCAUGUCCAUCUCACAUUUUGACACAAAAAAUAACGAAUUAGACUAAAGUCUAUUUUAUUUUGUCACAACUUAUCCCAACCAGCCCACUAAACAUUGUUUGGUGGUCUGGAUGAGAUUGAGCCUUAGGGAUAAUAAUGGAUUGACAAGGACUUGUAAGACAUGAUUUGUAACCUAUGUAUAAGGAUAAGUUAGAUAACCCACACUAUUGUGGAUUCAUAACCUUUCAUGUCCACUACUCAUAUCACAUUUUGACACAACAAACAAUUGAUUAAAAGGAAAACUAAUGAAAAGGGUUUGAAAACUUUGAAUUUUAACGAUAAGGACAAAAUAAAGGGUAAAUUGAAUAGUACCAUGAUUGACUUUUUAGUGUAAAAAUGUGGUUUUUCGUUAAAGUGAACAGUACCGGGAGCUUUUCGUUAAAGUUUCCUUGAUUAAACUCAAGUCCAUUUUAAUUAAUCAGUCAUCCAACCCAUCAAAUGGGCUUAAUAUUUAAACCGGCCAUGGAUCCCGCCAUUGCCGGGAAAACAUGAAUCAUACUGUUGUGUUUGUUAAUUUAACCUAGAGCUGGAUUAUUGUAGAUUUGUCGACCACCUCAUUUCACGUGACUUUGUGUUUCAUGAGGAGCCAAGAUCUACAAAGAAAUUUGCUGGUAUCACGGUCAUCAAAAGUGCAAAAUUCUUAGUAUCUCGCAAAAGGAGAUAAAAAGUCGCACGUACCGAUAUCCUCAGGUUUGUAUCAAUGGUCGUACAAAGUGCACGAAUAUAAUUAAAAGACUUUGCAAGUGGUUAUGCUAUUAUUCGUAUUGUCAUGAAUUUAUGGUAAAACCGAACUUCUUCUUAGUAUUAGAAGAGGUUACUUCAACAUUCUGGAAAUGUAUUGUGUCUCUUGUCUCUCCUAUUAGAGGUAUGAAAACGGUUUACAUGAAACUGGUUUCUCCAAGUUAGGCACAUUUCUCUAAAUAGUAGGCAUCUAGCAAGCAUCGAAGUUAGGAACAUCUCUGAAUCGCCAUCAAUCUUUGAAAACAUGUUGCAAUAACGUCAAGUAUCCUGAUAUUUUUUAUAUUCUGGUGGUUUUCAAUUCAUCUUUUUGCCAAGAAUCCUGCAGCUGAUGAAUGUGAUGUAUCACUGCAACUGCACAAACGAUUAGAAACAUACAGUGCCAAUUCCCUGUGUGGAAGCAAGCAGCCAUAGCUGUGGCGGUAUUAAACGAACCAAGUUUUGUUUUCUGGUUUUGGGAAGAUGAUUUUUGAGUCACAAAAAGGUGGACCACUCGCUUGGUUCCUAGCAAGGUAUAAAAUAUCCAUGAUAUCGGAAAUAUUGGUAGUCCAAAAACACGGAAAUUUCGAUGGAAAUAUCGAGAUAUUAUCGAUAUCGAUAAAAAUUGAAUAAAAACCACGGAAAUUGUAAGAAAAACUGGGAAAUUUUUAUUGAAACUUUGCAGUAUGUUUAUUUAGUCAAUUAUCUAUUAGUUUAUCACAAACAAUUGAAAGGAAAUGCAUUGCAUGAUGAAUUAAACUGAUUUAAGUUGAUUAUAUAGCGAGCUGUCAAACAUUGUGAGUGUAGAAAAUAUGUAGUAAUUAAUGAAAGAAGUUUAAACACACCAUAAUCAUUUAUAUAUAAUGAAUUAGUACAAUAUUUUACACUUUAUACAUUGCAUGGUAAGAUACAUGAGUGACUUAGUAUCACAUAGAGUUCCUAUGAGGUUCAAAAUUUUCACUAUCUUCAUCAUCUUUAUAUGUAGAGUAAGUGUAUUUUAGCAUAUUUUCACAAAAACAUAAGUGAUAUGGUAGUCAAGGUGUUGAAGGAGUAAAAUGGGAGGGGUUCGAAUCCCCUUGGUGUUUUAAAGACAAAAUUAUAUUAGUUUCCCAAAAAAAAAACACAAUUAUAUUAGUAUUUUAUUACUUUCUCAAAGACUUAUGCCAACAUCCACAUACAUCUUCUCUCUUCCCUAAACGCACCCACACCACACAAAUUUCUAUCAUCCACCUGUGUCUCUCUCUCUCUCUUGCCCACAUCACUCUCUUUCUCAGCCAAACAAAAUCAUAUGUUCAUCUAUCCCUACCUCUCUCUCACUCCUCUCAGAUCUAGGCUUUACCUUUGUUUUUUUCUUUGAAACAAAAACAGCAGGGGAUGGAGCUGGGGCGGAGAUGGGAACAGCGGCGGAGGAACGGGAGGAAACAGCCGGGGAUGGAGUCGGGGCGGAGAUGGGAACUCCGACGACUCGUCUUCGUCGUCGUCGUCAGUUUCGUGAUUCGGAGUUCUGGGUAUGUUUCUUAAUGGGUGGAGAUCCCGAGUCGCCGCCGAUCCGUAGUUCCCCUUCAAGGUUCUGAUGGAGGAGGUGGUCUGAGUUAGCUCCGACCGUUUCACGGCAAACGGAAGUUAUAAACAUAUUCCUCUCCUCUUGUAUUUCAUUUUGAUACCUAGAUCGGAGUCUAAGGUGUUCUUUUACAAUCGGCUGAAGUUGUAGAAGCUCCGGUGUUCUUCUCCGAUUCACACCAGCCUAAAAUAUCGUGAUAUUAUCGGUAAUAUCGCGAUAUUGUCGAUAUUAUCGAUAAUAUCGCGAUAUUUUGAUGAAAAUUCAGUGGAUAAGUAUUAAAAUAUCGCUCUUUCACAAAACCGAUAUUGUCGGCGAAAUAUCGCCGAUAAUAUCGGCAUUUCAGACCAUGGUUCCUAGAGAGAGAAAGCUAGAUAUCAAUCAUUCAGUCAUCAGAAUCACACCAUUACUAUUUAUUACGUUACAUGUGUAUCAAAUUUUUCAUAAAUACCGACACAACCCUCACUUUUCAGAGUGACUAUCACCUCGUCGAGCUCUGUUUUACUGUAUACGUAGUAGGAUUAUCUUCUCUCCCAAAUUUAUUUUUUUUUCUGUCACUUUCUCUCAAACUUUCUUUUUUGUCUUUUUUUUUUUUAUUUAUUUUUAUUUUAUAUAAAGAAGUCAAUAAAAGAUAUAUAUGCGACUUAGCUGUUCAAAUAGAAAGGAAUUGUCGGGAUGAAUAAUUAGAGGAGAAAGAAUCUUAUUCUUUAUUAUAUUUACAAGAGAGUUGUCGGACAAAACGCAAUGAGAUCUUCCAAAUUCCAUAUCAUUAUAUAAAUAUUUGUCUUUAAUAGUAAAAUUAGAAAAAAUUUCAAUCUAAUCUACUAACAAUCUCUAAAAUAGUACAAACUUGAGGACAUUACAUUUGAUUUAGGAAAAUCCUUUUACUUUUAUUUUGUUAGAAAACAAUGAAUUAGACUUGGAAAUAAACUAAAAAAAUAUAUAUAAAGUAUUUAGAAUUAACAAAAAACUUGACGUAAAAUCGAGUGAAGUUAUAUGGUAGGAUUCAAGCAAACUUUUUUUAAUAUGAUAAUUUUGUUGUUGUUGUUGUACAGUAACAUAAAAGAUAUGAAAAAAAACAUGCGGAAAUCAGUUUGACUGAAUGCACAUGCCUAGUUUGCAUUGCCCUUGAGCUGGCUUUGCGUGCUACCACCAUAGUAUUUCAGCUCCUCCUCCGGGAAUCAAGAAACUUCAAGUUCCGCGGACACGUUGCUACGUCAAAUUUACCCUUUUUGUGCCAGUGAAAAUGUCAGUUCUCUCUUCCCCUUGCUGUUUUCACCCUCGUAUAUCAACCAAGUCACUGUCUCUCCCAAAACCCUACACGUGUCGCCACGUUUGCAUCCGUGGCCACCGAACCGUGGUUAAAACUGAACCCACGCCCCAUCUAACCACGGUUAACAAUGUUAAGUGCCUAUGUGUAUUUAUCAGCAGCAAAGCCCAACCUAAAACAUAAGCCCAUGGUUAAAACCAUUCCCAGCUUCUAGUUUUUGGCUUUUGGCUUCUGGCUUCUGUGUUCUCUCUCCCUCUCUCUUAAGAAAACAGCAGAAGCACUUUCUCAAAUGGGGCUCUCGAAUUUCCCAAGUGCAGCAGAAGGCGUGCUGCCAUUGCUAGUAAUGAACACAGUUUUUUCCGUGGCUCUGCUAAAAAACAUGGCAAGAUCUGUGCUUCAAGUGAUGCGUGCCAAUAUCAAUUCCCACACUUUCGACGAGAACUCAGAUGGGUGUCCUGAGGAAAUUUCUAGAGAGAGAAGAAUCUCCAUAACACAGUUUAAAUCUUUCUGCAGAAACGGGGGAAAAACACAGUGUUGUGUCUGUCUCUGUGGGUUCGAAGCAGAGCAAGAAGUGAGUGAGUUGUCCUGCAAGCACUUCUUCCACAAAGGUUGUCUGGAAAAGUGGUUCGACCACAACCACCGUACAACUUGCCCUCUUUGCCGCUCCUUUGACUGAAAAGAUGAGGGUUUUUUGGUUUUUGAGGUUUGUGUGUUAUGGAGUUUUGGGUUCAUCGGCUGUACUUUUUUUUUUGCUUAUAUUAUCUUGUUAUUUUUAGCAUAAAAUAGAGAAAGUGUUUGCCUUUUGGUUUAUUUGUGUGUGCGUCCAAGUACCAAGAGGAUUAAAAGAUAAAAAAUAAGGAAGGAAUUGGGGCAUCCAUUUUUUUAGGGUUUUGGUUUAUCUAUUGCCGUGUGUUUUCUUUUCUGCAGCCAAAUCUUCAUCUGUAGGGGGCAGAAAAAGUAUGGGACUUGGGGAUUGGGAAUUGGAUAAAAUGGAGAGCUUCUUUUAUCGUAUUCUUAAUAAGGUGCGGUACACUCAAAGAUUGCAACAUAUUAAAAAUGGAUCGGUACAUUGUAUGUGGUUGUACAAGUUAUACAUUUAAAAAAAAAAAAAAACCUUUUUCAUAUAUAUUAUGACAUUUGUUAUAUUAAGUCAUGUUUUUAAUAAAUUAAAAAACUUAUCGAUAAUGUGGAUCUAAAGUAUUUACCUACCACAUUAAAAAAAAAAAGUGGGUGUUAACAUGUCUUCAAGAAUUCGGCAUGUCUAAUUUAGAGCAUUUUCAAGAGAAAUUUCAAAUUUUCAGUUAAACUUAUAAGUGAAGAGUCUCAAAACAAACUAUUUCAACCAAUCAAUAUAACUUUUAAUAUUCAACAACUAUUUCAACCAAUCAAUUUCACUUUUAAUAGUCAACAACACCACCUACGUAAUAAUUCAAUUAUCAAUUUUUAUGUCAAUUAGUUUACCAAAUUUAGUCUCCUAACAUCACUCUUUUCAAAACAACCUUCUCUCUUUUCCCUUUUUUUUCUUGCUCAAUGGUCCACUAUUGAGUUUUAUUAUUUUUUCAAUAUUUACUGACACACCCCGUCCCGAAGGAGGGCAUGCUGGCCGUCACAUGAGAGUGACGUAACCAUUUACACAGUUCGGAAGCUUUUAAAAUACAAUUAUUAAAAUGGAAACCCUCGAGGGUGAGUCCUACUUUUGUGAAUUCUGUCAGAAUACCGUUGGAUUCCUCGUGGCCACCAAAACUCUGCUAUCAAGAAUCUGGAGGGGCGAAAAACAAAAUUGAGUGGGUCAGUAAAACCAAGCUUUUCAAAAACAUUUCGCCAAAAAUAAUUCUAACCCCUCACUGUAAAACCUGUAUAAUUUUCCCAGAAAAUAGUAUAAUAACAUAAUACUUUCAUAAAUCUCGAAUCAUCAAUUUUUCUUUAAAACCCGAAAGUAUGCCAUGUUUUAAUUUCGAAAACAAAAUAAAUGAUGCAUCAAUGUAACAGGUGAAAAGUUGAAUUAACCGGAGACCCUGCAGUUGGUCCUGUACGGUUAAUUCCAUAGCUCAACAUCCAAUCCAACCGGAGUCACCUCGAUGACCUGUACGGCACUACACUGCAGAUAAGUCGGAACUACCUGAAGUAGUCUGUACGACAUGGAUGGUGUAAUAAUACGCUCUAGUGCUUCUCUCAUCAAUCAUCUGUGCACAUAAUCUAAGGUCACCCACUAGUCGGAAUCACAUCUAGUAAUCUAUACGACUAGCAUGUCGGAACCCUCACUUGGUCUGUACGACAUCCACCUACUUGGAUCCAAGACGAGCGUGCGGUGUGGUGAAUAAUAUAAGCACAAACACCAUGAUUGCAGGUUAUGAGCUAUCCACAAUAUACACAUCAACAAUGCACAUGAAUAAUAUAAAACUCACUUGAUACUUACUUGUGCGUCCACAGCACCAAUUCACAUAUAUAUAUGCAUCAUACAUCAAUUCAUGCUUUUCAUAUACUUCUAUGCAUGGCAUUUCAAAUCAUACUUUUCAUAUAAAUCUAUCCAUGGCAUUUUAAAUCAUACUUUCAUUUAAAUUCAAUUUCUGGGAAAACUCAAUAGUAUAUAGGUAAUACGAAAACAAAACUGCCCACUCACCUGGAGUUCGCCCUACAACUCCCUAGCACAACACAUCAAGGCGUCAUGACGAUCGCCGCCUAGAACAAUAAUCAAAUCCAACCUCAGAAAUCAUAUCGAUAGAAUAUAACUUAUAUAAAACACAUCAUUACGCAGUUCGAUCCGAAAGAUCUGUAACUCAGAUUUUAAAUCCAUAACUUCCAGAGGUCCACAAUAUAUCUCUAGGACAACAUCCUGAAAUUUCAUUACCAUCCAACGGUCGGAUCUCCGUCAAUUUCCAAAACUAAGUGACGGUUAACAUUUUAUUUUAUGAACUUACAACUCCAAUUCUGGACGAUCCGUAACUCGGAUUCCCAAUCCGUAAGUUCCAAUAAUCCUCAAAUAUUACGUAUUACAACGUAUCAAUGUUUGGUGACGAUCCAACGGUUGGAUCGUCAAUUCACAUUUUCACCUAAAUGCGAAAACUAUAAAACGUUAUUUAAAGCACCUAACCAAUAAUCGUAAUAACUUUCUCAUACGAUGCUCAAUUUGGGUAUAUGAAUAUACCACAGUGAUCUACUCGACGUCACGAACGUCGAUAUAUUUUUAGAUUAUUUUUUUGAUGUGCCACGCGCCCCCACGCGCCCUUCUUCUUCCUUGGGUCGCCGGACUGGUUUUUUUGGCGACCGUUUUCCGGCCAAUUUUAAAACCUCUUGUUCUCCUUCGUUUUUCACCCAUUUUCUUCGUAUUUUAUAUCAAAUUGAAGCCCCAAACAUGUAGAAUCACGAUAGACUAGUUUAAGGCUCUAAAAAUUAAGAAAUCUCACCGGAAAAUUCCCAAGAAAUUCGGCCAAAAUGGAACCACGUGAUCCCGACGUCCAAAUCCUUCAAACGAAGUACUCCGAGCCUCCUUAGGACUUCACUAAGCUCACUACAAGCUUAGAAUUCCCUGAAACACGACAUUUUACGUGUGCAUGAACAGUAACUAAAAAAUGGAGGUUCGGGUUUCCCGUGAUUCCGAGGGUUUCACUUCCUAAAACUAGUACCAAUGAACUCAGAACGUCGAAAGGAUGAAGAUGCAUACCUUGGUUGCCUCGAUCCGUCGAGUUUUUGGAGGGUUUGGGUGUGUGUGUGUGUGAGGUCGAGGGAGAGAGACAGAGAAUGCUACGAGAGGGAGAGAAGACAGGGAGUGCGUGUAUUUCUUAACCAUUUUUCUUGAAAACAAUUUUCUUUAAGACUCAAAAACUUAUUUGGUUUGUGAUUUAAAAAUUCUAAAUCUUACAACUUAAACUGGACAAAGAGAUCCAAAAAGAGGGGGUCUGAGAGAGAAAGAGGAUAGAAGAGGAAAGAAAGUAAGAGAUAAUUGGAGGAAUGAGAAAGAAGUGAGAGGAUCGGAGGAGAUAGAGAGGAAGAUGAGCGAGAAAAAGAACCGAGAGAAUGAAGAGAGCGGAUUGGAGGAGAGAAAAAAAAGGUAAAAAAAAAAAAAGAAAGAGAAGGGUGAGAGAGAGAAUAAAAGAGAGAGAUUUGGAGUGAGAGGGGAGGAGGGAGAGAAAAAAAAAGAAUCCGUUUAAGUUUAAAAACUCUAUAAACUUACUUUUUUCUAUUUUUAGAGAAUAAACUAUAGUUUUUAGUUAGUCUUGAGUUCAGUUUUUAAAAAUAGUCCUACCAAACAAGUUUUUAAGACAUUUCGGAUUUUCUUUCAGCAGGUAAUUAAAGCUUUUUAUUUAUAGUUUUGGACCUUUCGGUUCAGUAACUGAGCAUAUUGUUACCCUAAAACAUCAGUGCAGAGAGGUUUGCAAUGACUUGACACUUAAUCUUUAAGCUCCUUUUGAUAUCCACUCAGCUUUCCACACUCCAUUGCGUUUCCAUCUCACAUUGUCAUCAAAUCCAUGGCAGUACUGAAGGCCAUGAUCCUCAUCACAGUCACCCCAUAUCCUGCGCUCGUAUCUGGUUUCCUGCACUCUCAUCGUUGCCGGAAGAAGCUGCACCUCCUGGAAACUAGCUUCAUAUUCAGCGUUCUCCAAUUCCAUUAAUGCAGUGUUGAAGUUCAUAGCACCACCAGCACCAUGAGAAAACUCG
rnacentral:lncRNA from 1 species